rnacentral:lncRNA from 1 species
GUGCAGCGUCAUGGGCCUGGAGCUCGGGUACGGCAGGUCGGCGUAGCGCUUGAAGGAGCGGAUGAAGAGGUCGUCGACCUUGAACAGGAUGUUGGUCGGGUUCCAGAUGAUGGUGUAGGUGUGGUAGUCGGCGGAGGGGUCGAACCAGAGGUCGAACUGGUGCUCCUUCUUGCCGUCGCCGCUGGCCCACACGUUGGUGUUCAGCACCACCGGCUGCCCGCUCGAGUUGCCCAUGAACUCCAUGUCGAUCUCGUCGCGCCCGUCGCCGUCGCCGGAAGAGAGCUGCAUAUAUAAUUUGAUGUUAUUAUCUCGUUCUCGUUGUGGAGACGGUGGAUCGACACGGAUCGAUGAUCGGGAGAACGUGCAUGCGCUAGCUAGCUAGCUGAUCGAUGGCUUACGUAGAAGCACGAGACGGUGCCGGCGGAGUUCCCCCGGAUGAGCUUCAUCUCGACGCUGAACUCGCCGUAAAGGUACUGCUCCUUGGAGUUGAAGCCGGCAGCGCCGGAGUGCUGGUCGAGGCGGAGCAUCACCACCUGCUGGCCCGAAUCGUCGUAUCCCGUGCGGACGGUGCCGUCCGUGGUGAACCUCCUGUCAAGCCACGACGACUUGGCCGAGGCGGCGUGCAAGAACGCGAGGGCGGCGACGGCGAGCACUGCCAGCAGAGAACGCGGUGCCAUGGUGUCUGUGUGUGUGUGGCGGCUCUAGAGCUCUUUUCGGAAACGAGCUUACAAACUGGAGGGAACUUCUUGGUCUGUGGUUCGAAGAAGCACAGUUCAUGGCGCCGCUUUAUACUAGUGGCGUCGAGGUCUGCGUACGUCUGCCCCAUGUGGGCUGGGGGCACAGGGCACAUUUUUUUGUCCAUGCAUUAUCGUGUUGGCGCGAAGGUCGUUACAAUUAUUCGGGCAGCACAUGGGUACUACAAUCUACGAUAAUCCCGUUCGGGUGUUCAUACAUGCAUUGGCAGUUUCAUAAGCUACGUGUCUUAAGGAACAUUAGACUACUGUGGGCCCAGGAAAAGGGUGGAGAACGUGGAGGAUGGCCGAUGAGCUAUUAUUCGAUCUGACUGCCGAACGCAGCUAUAAAGCCAAAAAAAACAAUCGACAAACUAUUUACCGAGUAUGACUUUCGACAAAAACGUUUCGGCGAACUAUACAUCAAUAAAGGUUUAUUUAUCGAGUACUUUUUGUCGGACACUCGACAAAGUCCUUCUCGAAUGUCAACUGGUACUCGACAAAGAAAACUCGCUGUCACGGUGCCAAGUGACGGUCACGGAGUCCCUGUCAUUCGGCAAAGAGGCCUUUUUUACCGAAUGUCUGUUGUCCUGGCACUCAGCAAAGAAGGCUCCAGUAGACCCCUUUUGCCAGCCCCAUUGUCGAGUACGAUGAUAGUCACUCGGUAAAGCGGGCUUCUUUGCGAGUGUCCGAUGGAUGGGCUCUAAGCAAAGGUGGCUCUAGUUGACCCCUUUGCUAAUCCCUUUACCGAGUGGCUAGACCACAGCACUCGACAAAUAAGCUUUACCGGUUCAUAGGUGUGCCUACUUUGUCGAGUGCUAUGGUCAUGGCUUUUUGCCGAGUGUUACACUCGGCAAAAUGACCAGAAUACCUUUUUUAUUUGUUUUUGCUAUUUCAUCCAAACAAACAAAAGAUACAUAUCAUAGACAUCACAUAUAUCACAGAAUCAACACAUGCAUCACCAACACCAUAUAUCUCACAAAUAUCAAUACAUCAAACAAGUUUCACAAACAUAGGUCUCACCAAGUAUCUCACAAAAGUUUCACAAAGAAGUAUCUCACCAAGUAUCUCACAACAAGUUUCUCAAAUAUGUCACCAACACAAUGCCAUCAGCGAGGUGGGCGGCUGAAUUGGUUCGGCGAAGAGCUGGAAGAAGCGUAAGGGUUUUUUUAUGUCGCCGAUUGUCCCUACACAGAGAAGAGAUUUUAUGUGUGAGACUGAUGAAUAUGUAUCUGUCACACCCGGAUUUAAGAAACAAGCCGGGUGCAUCUCAUAUAUGCGCCAAAGAAGACAACACAUAUAAUAACAAAGUGUAUAGACAUAAAUGUCACAAUAACAUCAGAGUACUUAUUACAUAGCAAAAGUCUUACAAAAUAAAAGAUAAAUAUAAAACGAACUAAAAUCCAUCCUUGGCGCCAAUAAGUCAACUGGGAGACGCCACCUAGAUCAAGUCGAACUCGUCGUUGUGUGGCUCCUCUUGAACCACCUGUUUAUCUCCUGUGGGGGUGUGAGACAGCAAGGGUGAGCUCACACAAGAUUAUAGCUCAACAAGUUGUGGGGAAUAAUGUGCAUGAACUCGCCAAAGGUGGGAGUUCAUGUGAUGUGUAAGGCUGAUCAAUAAUAGGGUUAAAGCUAAGCAUUGCUUUUAAUAAGUUGAUCAAAUUUUAUUAGCAAUUACUAAAAGUAAGAAAAUACCAAACCAUAAUAAGAAUAAUAGAAAAAAAUUAAUAAAUAAAUCUCAUGCAAUGCAAAUGACAAAUUGAACUUAGUUUCAUAAUUUAAUCAUGCGAGAGUCCUGAGCUGCUCAUGACCGUGAGCACGGCUAGUAUACCACUUUUACACUCUGUAGAGUUUGUACCCUUUACCCACAAGUCAUGUCACCCGGUUGCCAAGUGGUCUAGAAGUCCCAUUUAUCUCUACCGAGGAGACGAGGCAGGGUAACACUACGAGGCCUUUACAAAGUUCCACUAGCUUUCGAAAACCCGCUAUAGUUUAUGGCAAGAGUAAUUGUAGGAAUCCUCCGUCUAACAGCCAUCGCAGCAAAAUCAACCCAAGAACCUCCCUACAUGCCUACUCCCCUACUGCCCUUGCCCCUUUCGAGUAAGGUAGUCUUCCACUAGCUUUCCUAAUUAGUUAGCCAAGGGGUCACAUUCCACCCUUGUGGUGGCACGUGUUUCUCAAGUUAAGCUCCAUGUUCCAAUUAAAGAUAAUGAUCUUUACAUGAACAUAAAUAAAAUAACAGAAUAAUUGAAACAUGGAUAUAAUGAAAUAUUAACCCAAAAUCAUGUAAAUCAAUAGCAUAACUACCCAAAUGAUUCAGGGAUAAAAAAGGUAAAAAAUAAUCAGACUAGGGUGACCUAUUGGGUCCCAUCAAAAUAAAACCUAUGCAUUGAUAAGUGAUAAUAAAGAACAUUAUUGGAUAAAAAGUGGUCAAGGACACAACUUGCCUUCAAUGAGCUCCUCCUCAGCAACUUCUAUCUGCUGAACACCUGGAUCCUCAGUGGCUAGCUCGUCUACUCGCCACAAUACAAACAAGCAUAGUAUAAAGGAGAAAUUAACAUCACACCAAACAUAUAAACAAAAUACAUAUUAAUAAUCUAUAUAUUAAAAUAAGAUCACAUGAACAUGAAUCAUUAAUUUUAGAGUUAUGGAUUUUAAGUUAUGAAUUUCCAAAAGUUCUAGGCAUUUGAUACAAGAUUAGUUAAGAGAUAAAUUUUAAUACUGUGUUCAUGACAAAAUAGAGACACUAUGUGAUGGAUAAUAUUAUUAUAAAAUUAUAGGAACCGGAAUGGGUCAAUUUGAACUUAAUAUGAAUUUUAUAUGAAUUAAACAAGUUUCUGCAAUUAAAUGUGUACUAAAAAUUAUUUUCUAAAUAUUUUUUCUGGUUUUAUCAAUUAUCUGGACUGUGCUCGCAAUAACAACUAGUCCGGGGUUGAACUUGCAAAUUAUCCUAGACUCAGUACACAGUGAAAAUGGACUGCGGGUUUAUUUCUAUGAAAGCAGGGGGCACAUUUGCAUAAUCGCAUGGCCGAAAGGGUAUCAAUAAAUCCUAGCCGUCCGACCUAGUUUUAGCGCGCAGGAUUAGAUCUAGCCUGUUAUGAAACGGUACGCGACGAUCACAGCACGAUCUCCUUUCUACGCUUCAGAUUCAAUUAACGCUGAACCACUCUCGCCCGUCAGAUCCGAAACAGGUGGCCCUCGUUAGACGAACCUAACCGGUAUGCCAAAUCAAAUCUGAACCACAGAUCGUGAGAUCAACGCCCCAGCUCAGCUCGGCCACCUACGGUUGAUACUGGCGGCGCCGCCCGCCAGGCCGCGGCGGAGCAUUGUCGGAGCCGAGCCAAAUCCUGUUGCAAGCGCGCUAAACUCGAAAGAAAAUGAUGUUGUACAUUGGUGGAGGCAAGGCAGACAGUAUGGGGGGCGAUUUACCUGCGGCACGCAGUGCAGAGGGCCCCAGGGACGAUGAUGUGCGGCCCACGGCGAUCCGAGUAGCGCCGGUGAGCAAUUCAAGGUUGACCGUCGCGCAAUCCACCGAGCCGAAGUCCCGACCAUGACCCGUCUGACCUGGUGAAGCUCCCGCACCAAAGACCGAGGCCUAUUCGCUGGAGAAUCAGCCGAUCGACGACGGUGGCCCGAAACUUGCCACAAUCAUGAUCCCGCGGCGGCAAGGUCGACGGUACAUGGAAAGGGUUUCAGUGGCGGUGCACAAGGUUUUGGCAGUAGCUGUUGCGCGAGUCAACUAGGAGAGCCGCAGCACCCAUGGGUUUUAUUCCCAUGAUCGAGGCGAAUUCGAGCUCGACGAUGACAAACCCGCGUGCGAUGGUCGAACGGUUCGGCCGAGAGACGGGGGGGAGAAGCCUGUCUGACAGUGGGGCCACGAAGAUGACGAGUGGGGUCCGAUUCAAGGAAGCAUCCACAUUUUCCCCUCUCGCACCCGGAGAUGCGGAGCGGCCGGCGCGCACGAUUUCGUUUCGAGGUCCACGGGGUUGAAGACGGGGUUGACAGUGGGCCCUGGUAGUCUACGAGAGAAAGAAGGGAAGAGAAACAGAACCGAGCGGAUGAAAGAAUGGUCCCACGCGUCAGCGUGAAGGUGGCUGGCGUGCGAGCGGGUGAAUGGGAGGCGGGUCCCACGAUUCAGUGAGGAGGUGGGAGUGCAUGCACUGACUAACGGGCGGGGCCUAGGUGUCGGCGCCGGUUACUCCAGUGGCUGCGCGAGAGUGGGCUAGGUGAUAGUGGACCGGUUCUUUAGGGUUUCAGCCCAUGCGCCACUUUUUCUUUUUAUUUUCCUUUUCCUUUUUCUGAUUUAUAUUUACCCCUUCUCAUUUGAAUUCAAAUUUCAAACUCAAAUCCUGUGGUAAAAUUUAUCCUCAGAUUGAAACUAUAAUUUGAACAUACUAGUCUUACUUUUAUUUGUAAUAUUUAUUUUGUAUAUAUUUUCUUUACAAUACUUCUUUUCUUCCCUCUCUACAUUUCUUUAGAGUUUUGUUUUCCAAAUUAGAGUUUAAAUUCUAUGGUCCCAUUAAUAUAUUGUUAAUGGCACUUCCAUAUUUAUUAUCCACAAUUGCUCAAUCAAAAUAAAACUCAGCAUGAUGCAUGAUUUAUUUAGGUGUCUUUGGUUAUUUACUCUCUUUUUAUGGUGUUCAUUCACAUGUGAAAGUAGGUGAAAGGGAAAUAGGGUCAAACCUUUUUCCUAAAUGAUUUUGGUGGUUGAAUUGCCCAACAUAAAUUUUUAGACUAACUAGUUUGCUCUAGAUUUUCUCUUCCCUUCUUUGUGUUGGGCAAUUCAACCACCAAAAUCAUUUAGGAAAAGGUUUGACCCUAUUUCCCUUUCAAUAAUUCUAGUGAUGAUGAGGAUAACUUGCUCACCCUUUUUGCCAACCUAAACAUGCAACAAAAAGAAAAAUUGAAUGAAUUGAUUAGUGCUAUUCAUGAGAAGGAUGAACUCUUGGAUAGCCAAGAGGACUUCCUUAUUAAGGAAAACAAAAAGCAUGUUAAGGUUAAAAAUGCUUAUGCUCAAGAGGUAGAGAAAAAUAAAAAAUUGACUAGUGAGCUUAGCAUUUGCCAUGACACUAUUUUUAACCUUAGAAAUGAAAAUGCUAAAUUAAUUGCUAAGGUUGAGAAAUCAAAUGUAUGCGAUGAUUCAAUUGCCAAUCUUAGAAAUGAUAAUGCUAGUUUGAUUGCUAAGAUUGAUAAAUUGAAUGCCUCUCUUGCUAGCCUUAAGAUUGAGAAUGAAAAAUUAAUUACUAAGGCUAAUGAUUUAAAUGUUUGCAAUGUUUCCAUUUCCAAUCUUAGAAAUGAGAAUGCUAUUUUACAUGCUAAGAUUGAUGAAUUAAAUGCAUGCAAACCCUCUACAUCUAGUGUCAAUCAUGUUACCAAUUGUAUUAGAUGUAGAGACAUUAAUGUUGAUGCUAUCCAUGAUCACCUAGCUUUAAUUAAACAACAAAAUGAUUACAUAGCUCAACUUAGUGCCAAAAUUAAUGAGCAUGACUUAGAAAAUGAAAAUUUUAAAUUUGCUAGAAGCAUGCUCUAUAGUGGGAGACGCCCAGGCAUUAAGGAUGGCAUUGACUUCCAACAGGGGGACAAUGUAAGCUUAAUGCCCCUAAAAGAUUGUCAAAUUUUGUUAAGGGCAAGGCUCCCAUGCCUCAGGAUAACGAGGGCUAUAUUUUAUAUCCUGCUAAUUAUCCUGAGGACAAGAUUAGGAGAAUUUAUUUUAGGAAGUCUCACUCUGGCUCUCAUCAUGCUUUUAUAUAUAAGAGUGAGGCAUCUAGUUCUAGGCGUUCUACUCAUGUUAAAAUGCUUAAAAAGAAAUCUCCUAUUGCAUCAAAUGAACCUAAUAUUUCAUUUAAGACUUUUGAUGCUUCAUAUGUGCUCACUAACAAAUCAGGCAAAGUAGUUGCCAAAUAUGUUGGGGGCAAACACAAGGGCUCCAAGACUUGUGUUUGGGUACCCAAGGUGCUUGUUUAUAAUGUCAAAGGACCCAAGACCGUUUGGGUACCUAAGAACAAGGCCUAAACUUGUUUUGUAGGUUUAUGCAUCCGGGAGCUCAAGUUGGAUCAUCGAUAGCGGGUGCACAAACCACAUGACUGGGGAGAAAAAGACGUUCUCCUCCUAUGAGAAAAACCAAGAUCCCCAAAGAGCUAUGACAUUCAGGGAUGGAAAUCAAGGUUUGGUCAAAGGACUUGGUAAAAUUGUAAUAUCACCUGACCAUUCUAUUUCCAAUGUUUUUCUUGUAGAUUCAUUAGAUUAUAACUUGCUUUCAGUUUCUCAAUUAUGUAAAAUGGGCUACAAAUGUCUUUUUACGGAUAUAGGUGUUACUGUCUUUAGAAGAAGUGAUGAUUCAAUAGCAUUUAAGGGAGUAUUAGAGGGUCAGCUAUACUUGGUUGAUUUUAAUAGAGCUGAACUCGAUACUUGCUUAAUUGCUAAGACUAACAUGGGUUGGCUCCGGCAUCGCCGACUAGCCCACGUUGGAAUGAAGAAUCUUCAUAAGCUUCUAAAGGGAGAGCACAUUUUGGGACUAACAAAUGUUUAUUUUGAGAAAGACAGGAAUUGUAGCGCAUGUCAAGCAGGGAAGCAAGUUGGUGUUCAUCAUCCACACAAGAACAUCAUGACGACCGACAGGCCGCUUGAGCUACUCCACAUGGAUUUAUUCGACCCGAUAGCUUACAUAAGCAUCGGCGGGAGUAAGUACUGUCUAGUUAUUAUGGAUGAUUAUUCUCGCUUCACUUGGGUGUUCUUUUUGCAGGAAAAAUCUCAAACCCAGGAGACCUUAAAGGGAUUCUUGAGAUGGGCUCAAAAUGAGUUCGGCUUAAGGAUCAAAAAGAUUAGAAGUGACAAUGGAACGGAGUUCAAGAACUCUCAAAUUGAAGGCUUCCUUGAGGAGGAGGGAAUCAAGCAUGAGUUCUCUUCUCCCUACACGCCACAAAAAAAUGGUGUAGCGGAGAGGAAGAAUAGAACUCUACUUGACAUGGCGAGGACCAUGCUUGAUGAGUACAAGACACCGGACUGUUUUUGGGCUGAGGCGAUUAACACCGCCUGCUACUCCAUCAACCGGUUAUAUCUUCACCGAAUCCUCAAGAAGACAUCAUAUGAACUCCUCACCGUUAAAAAGCCCAAUGUUUCAUAUUUUAGAGUCUUUGGUAGCAAAUGUUUUAUUCUUGUUAAAAGAGGUAGAAAAUCUAAAUUUGCUCCUAAGGCUGUAGAAGGCUUUUUACUUGGUUAUGACUCAAACACAAGGGCAUAUAGAGUCUUUAACAAGUCCACUGGACUAGUUGAAGUUUCUUGUGACAUUGUGUUUGAUGAGACUAACAGCUCUCAAGUAGAGCAAGUUGAUCUUGGUGAGCUAGAUGAUGAAGAGGCUCCGUGCGUCGUGCUAAGGAACAUGUCCAUAGGGGAUGUGUGUCCUAAGGAAUCCGAAGAGCCUCCACAAGCACAAGAUCAACCUUCAUCUUCCUCCAUGCAAGCAUCUCCACCAACCCAAGAUGAGGAUCAAUCUCAAAAUGAUGAAAAUGAAGAUCAAGAAGAUGAGCCACCUCAAGAGGAGGACAAUGAUCAAGGGGGAGAUGCCAAUGAUCAAGACAAGGAAGAUGAACAAGAUCAAAGACCGCCACACCCAAGAGUCCACUAGGCGAUUCAAAGAGAUCACCCCGUGAACACCAUCCUCGGCGAUAUUCAUAAGGGGGUAACCACUCGAUCUCGAGUCGCUCAUUUUUGUGAACAUUACUCUUUUGUUUCCUCUAUUGAGCCACACAGGGUAGAGGACGCACUUAAAGAUUCGGAUUGGGUGCUGGCAUUGCAAGAGGAGCUCAACAACUUCACGAGGAAUAAGGUAUGGCAUUUAGUUCCACGUCCUAACCAAAAUGUUGUAGGAACCAAGUGGGUCUUCCGCAACAAGCAAGAUGAGCAUGGUGUGGUGACAAGGAACAAAGCCCGACUUGUGGCCAAGGGAUAUUCACAAGUCGAAGGUUUGGAUUUUGGUGAAACCUAUGCACCCGUAGCUAGGCUUGAGUCAAUUCGCGUAUUACUUGUCUAUGCUACUUACCAUGGCUUUAAGCUUUAUCAAAUGGACGUGAAGAGUGCCUUCCUCAAUGGACCAAUCAAGGAGGAGGUCUAUGUUGAGCAACCUCCAGGCUUUGAAGAUAGUGAGUAUCCUAACCAUGUAUAUAAACUCUGUAAGGCACUUUAUGGGCUCAAGCAAGCCCUAAGAGCAUGGUAUGAAUGCCUAAGAGAUUUUCAUAUCACUAACGGCUUCAAAGUCGGCAAGGCCGAUCCUGCUACUAAAACUAUUGCAAAAGAUUUGUUUGUAUACCAAAUUUAUGUUGAUGAUAUUAUAUUUGGGUCUACUAACAAAUCUACAUGUGAAGAGUUUAGUAGGAUCAUGGUACAAAAAUUCAAGAUGUCAAUGAUGGGGGAGUUGAAGUAUUUUCUAGGAUUUCAAGUCAAGCAACUCUAAGAGGGCACCUUCAGCAGCUAAAACGAAGUACAUUCAAGACAUACUCACCAAGUUUGGAAUGAAGGAUGCCAAGCCCAUCAAGACACCCAUGGGAACCAAUGGGCAUCUCGACCUCGACACGGGAGGUAAAUCCAUAGAUCAAAAGGUAUACCGGUCGAUGAUAGAAUCUUUACUAUAUUUAUGUGCAUCUCGACCGGAUAUUAUGCUUUCUGUAUGCAUGUGUGUAAGGUUCCAAGACGAUCCUAAGGAAGUUCACCUUAGGGCCGUGAAAAGAAUCUUGAGAUAUUUAGUUUAUACUCCUAAGUUUGGUCUUUGGUACCCCAAGGGAUCCUCGUUUGAUUUAUUAGGAUAUUCCGAUGCUGAUUGGGCAGGGUGUAAAAUUGAUAGGAAGAGCACAUCAGGGACUUGUCAAUUUCUGGGGAGAUCCCUGGUGUCUUGGGCUUCAAAGAAACAAAACUCAGUAGCUCUUUCUACCGCCGAAGCCGAGUAUAUUGCCGUAGGUCAUUGUUGCGCGCAAUUACUUUGGAUGAGGCAAACCCUUAGGGACUAUGGCUACAAAUUUAGCAAAGUCCCUCUCCUAUGUGAUAAUGAGAGUGCAAUCCGCAUGGCGGAUAAUCCCGUUGAACACAGUCGCACUAAGCACAUAGCCAUUCAGUAUCACCUUUUGAGAUAUCACCAACAAAGGGGGGAUAUCGAGAUAGCCUAUAUUAACACCAAAGAUCAAUUGGCCGAUAUCUUUACCAAACCAUUAGAUGAGAAAACCUUUAUCAAACUUAGGAAUGAGCUAAACAUUCUUGAUUCUCGGAAUUUUGAUUGAUACUUUGCACACAUAGCUCAUUUAUAUACCUUUGAUCAUAUCUCUUUUAUGUCUAUGACUAAUGUGUUUUCAAGUGUAAUCUUAUGCUUAGUCAUAGAAUUGAAAGGGAAAUGGAGUAUUCGGCAAAGACGACACUUCCACUCAACUCCAUCGGUAUUAUCUACUCUUUGCCGGUAUUCCACAUAGUUCUCCACUCUGGUAUAAUCUUCACUCAUAUCUAUUUGUUUGCCAUUGGGGAGAAAGUAAAAGGGCUUAUAUUUCACUCACAAGUAUCCGUUUUUGGCGAUUCAUGCCAAAGGGGGAGAAAGUAUUAGCCCAAAGCAAAAGGACCGCACCACCACCGAAUUUUAAAAAUGAAGUUUUCAAAUUGGUAUCUUAAUGUGUUUUCAAAAGGGGAGAAAGUUCUAGUAUCUUCAAAAAUUUGUAAAACUCUCUUGAACACUAAGAGGAGAACUUCGUUGAGGGGGAGUUUUGUUUAAGUCAAAGGAAAAGCAUUUGAAACAGGGGGAGAAAAUUUCAAAUCUUGAAAAUGCUUCUUUUAAUCUUAUUCAUAUACCUUUGACUAUUUGCAAAAAGUUUUGAAAAGAAUUUUACAAAGAAUUUGCAAAACAAAACUUGGGGUGCAAGCGUGGUCCAAAAUUUUAAAUAACAAGAAAACCAUCCAUGCAUAUCUAGUAGAAAUAAUUAUUGGUUUCAUUCCAAGCAACCUUUGCACUUACCUUAUGCAAACUAGUUCAAUUCUGCACUUUUAUAUUUGCUUUGGUUUGUGUUGGCAUCAAUCACCAAAAAGGGGGAGAUUGAAAGGGAAAUAGGGUCAAACCUUUUUCCUAAAUGAUUUUGGUGGUUGAAUUGCCCAACACAAAUUAUUGGACUAACUAGUUUGCUCUAGAUUAUGAGUUCUACAGGUGCCAAAGGUUCAACAUAAACCAAUAAAAAGUCCAAGAAAGGGUUCAAAUAAAAAGAGCAAAAGACAACCGAAGGCUGCCCUGGUCUGGCGCACCGGACUGUCCGGUGCACCACCGGACAGUGUCCGGUGCACCAGGGUGGAUCAACUCCAACUUGCUAUCUUCGGGUUUUCGGGGAGCCGCUCCAUUAUAAUUCACCGGACUGUCCGGUGUAGCACCGGACUGUCUGAUGUAGCACCGGACUGUCUGGUGUGCCAGCGGAGCAACGGCUAACUGCACCAACGGUCGUCAGCAAAAGUCUACAGUAAACAGUGAACAGUGCAACUGCACGCGCAGAAGUCAGAGCAGGCGCUAGAAGGCGCACCGGACAGUGAACAGGACCUGUCCGGUGCACCACCGAACUGUCCGGUGGGCCCAGAAGUCAGAGCUCCAACGGUCGAACCCUAAUGGUUGGGUUACGUGGCUGGCGCACCAGACAGUGUCCGGUGGCGCACCGGACUGUCUGGUGCGCCAUACGACAGCAGCCAUCCCCAACGACCACUUUGGUGGUUGGGGCUAUAAAUACCCCCAACCACCACAUUUCAAGGCAUCCAAGUUUUCAGCCAUUGCAUUCAAUACAAGAGCUCUAGACUUCACUCCAAGACACAAACAAGAGAUCAAAUCCUCUCCCAAGUCCAAAGAUCAUUCCAAUCAAAUAGUGACUAGUGAGAGAGUGAUAUUUGUGUUCAUUUGAGUUCUUGCGCUUGGAUCGCUUUUCUUCUUCCUUCUUUCUUGUUCCCAAGUCAUUUGUAAUCAAGGCAAGAGACACCAAUUGUGUGUUGGUCCUUGUGGGGACUUAGUGUCUCGAUUGAUUGAGAAGAGAAGCUCACUCGGUCUAGGUGACCGUUUGAGAGAGGGAAAGUGUCGGUGUUUCAGACCCGAGGGGUCCCUGGACCGACGAGUGAGAUUAUCGCUGCGUGCCCCUGCCCAGAUGGGUUGGCGUGGGAUGGAACACAAGAUGUGGGGCAAGCCUUGUAUUAUCCUGCACCAGGGGUGCCGCUCGUAGUAGGGGUUACAAGCACGUCGUGAGAGGGAGAGAGAGAGUGAGAGAGAGCCUGUUCGUUCGCUCCUUCCCCCUCGCGAACCCCCCCUCCAGGAUGGCCCUGGACCUCCCUUUUAUAGACGUAAGGAGAGGGUCCAGACGUACAAUGGGGGUUGUAGCUAUGCGCUAACGUGUCGGCAGAGAAAUGCCUAAGCCUUGUAUACAUGCCAACAUGGCUGUCGGGGGAGAGCUUGAGCCCUGUACACGUGAUAGCGUGGCCGUCGGAGAAGAGCCUGAGCCCUAUAGAAGCACAGAUGGUAGUGCGGCAAGGAUCCUGCUGACGUCUCCUUACUGCCGUAAGGGGCUGAGAGCCACCGGCGUCAUGGUUGCACGCGGGGCACCAUCAUUACCCGUCGCCGGGGUAAGCCAGAUGGGACGCCGGUCUUGUUCCGUAUAGCCUGAGCUGGCUAGGGAUAGGGUAAUGAUGUAUCCCCUGUAAGCGCGGUCGGUCCGAGCCCAAGGUCGGGCGAGGCGGAGACUUCUCUUAAGGCAGAGGUCGGGGUCGGGCGAGGACGCGAUUCCUCCCGAGACCGAGGUCGAGGCCGAGUCCGGGGGUCGUGCGAGGCGGAGACCUCCUCCCGAGGCCGGAGCCUGAGGUCGGGCGAGGCGGAGCUUCUUGUUGCGCCCGAGGCCGAACUCGGUGGUUGAUUGUGACUUGUUGUCAGCUUCGCCUGGGUGGUUGGCACGGCAGUCGGAGCGGGGCGGGCGGCGCUGUUUUCCCGUCAUAUCGGACAGUAAAAGAGAGAGGCGAAGUGACUGCGGUCACUUCGGCCUGGCCAACUGAGGCGCGUGUGUCAGGAUACAGCGUCAGGCGUCCCCUGCAUUAAAUGUGCCUGCGAAGUGGUCGGUUGGUGAGGCGGUCCGGCCAAGGUUGCUUCACAACGAAGCCUACCCGAGCCGGGCUUUGGGAGAGCCGAGGAGGCGCCCGCUGCCUGAGGAGGCCCUCGGGCGAGGCGUGAACUCGUCUGGGACUACUGCUCCAGCCCGAGGCUAGGCUCGGGUGAGGUCGCGUCCCUUGGGUAGACGAAGCCUUGACUUGAACCGUGCCCGUCAGUUGGUCAGAGGGUGUUUACCAGCCGUGAUUAGGAGCGUUGGGGGUACCCCUAAUUAUGGUACCGGACAGUAGCCCUCGAGCCUCGAAGGGAGUGUUGGUACUCGCUUGGAGGCUUUUGCCGCAUUUUCGGUGAGGGGACCGGCCUUUCUUGGUUUUUGCUUUAUUCUGGUGGGUGCGCGUGAGCGCACCCACCGGGUGUAGCCCCCGAGGCCUCGGAGGAGUGGUUUGACUCCUCUGAGGUCUAAAUGCUUUUCGUGGUGCCUCGGCCGGUCUGAUCGUUCCCUCAUGCGGCCUGGCCGUAGCCCGGGUGCAUGGUCAGGUUCCAAGUUAUCAAGCUGGUUUGUUGACGCUAUCAACAGUUUGGCCGUAGCCGGGUGCGAGAGCAGCCCCCGAGCCUCUGCAUGGAGCGAGAGGACGAUCAAGGACUUUCCCGACUUUUAUCAUACGCCCCUGCGUUGCCUUUCCGCAAGGAGGAUGGGGGAAAGCGCCAUGUUGCCCUUGGAGGGCGCCGAACAUGGUGUUUCCAGUGAGCUGCUAACGGGUGAUCCGAGUGGACGCCCGUGCCCCGUUCGUUAGGGGUCGGCUGGUGGCCUAGAGGCACGCUCCAAAAGUACCUGCGGGUGAUUCGCCGGACCCAGACCCCUUCGACAUGGUCCGAGGGCUCGAUGCCUCCCUCCGGUGGGAUUCCAUUACAAAUCAUUCCCGCCGGUCUCGGAAAUGUCCUAGGGUACCUCGGGAGCGUAGCCUAAGCCUCGACCACGUAUCGGACGUACCCAGAGUCAUCCCUCACUCUGCGUGCUCUAGGGCGACUGUCGAACCCUUCCGAGGGGCCAGCCUUUGAACCCCUGAUCAGUAAUGGGCGUGGAGCCCGAGCGCUUUGGGGCGGCUGUCGAACCCUUCCGAGGGGCCAGCCUUCGAACCCCUGAUCAGUAAUGGGCUUGAAGCCCGAGUGCUCUGGGGUGGCUGUCGAAACCCUUUCGAGGGGCCAGCCUUCGAACCCCUGAUCAGUAGGAGGGCUUGGGGCCCGUUUCCUUCGCCGAGAAGGAUCCUCUCCACAACGUCCCCUUUCUCGGUCCCUGUAGCAAGAGAGAGAGAGGAGGGGAAGGAUACGAAUUUAAAUAAGGUGGCGCACCUUUUUCGACGCAGUUGUCAUGGCGGAGGCAAAAUGACGCCCGCCUCGCCUGCCAGAGGUGUCGCUUGCUCUGCCGGGGAGUUAAUGCGACGGGACGGGUGCAUGGCGCCCGUUGCGCGUGCGAGCCGUUCGAGGAACGAGACACGGGUGUGUCGUCUUCACGCCGUGGGAGAGGGCUCUCCCGUCGCUUUAGGAGGGGACGCGAGCCUGCAGGCGAUUUGACCGCUGCUUCCGCUCGUCUGCCGCUGCAAUUACUGCCGGCCCACUUUUGGCCAUGCCAACCGUCGUGCCUAUCCCCGCGGCUGACUGUCCCAUGGCCGUUGCCUUCAAUUGGCACUGUUGGGUCAUGCGCGGGGCUGCCUCGAGUCGCGGUACUGGUUCUACAGCCGAGGAGGCAUGGCAUUGGCGUAGGUGGCGGUGUAGUUUCUUGCACGUCGUAACCGGCACACCGGUUACAUGACAUGCGGGCCCGCUUCCUUUGCGCUGGUCCACCGGAUGUGGUCGAAGCUGAAAGGGCGCACGGUCACGGUGCGGUUGGAUGCCUAUCGUGUGGCAGUCCACCCUUGCGGCCACUGGUUUCUGCGAAGAUGGGAGAACGCCUGUAACCGUGGGGCGGUUGCAUGCCUCGCGUGCGGCGGUUCGCCUUCUUCGUGCUUCGGAUCAGCUUGUAUGACGUGUGGGACCCAGCCCCUGGGUCGUAGGGGGAGAACCCUGGAGCAUGUCACUGGAGACUUUGCCCGUGACGCUAAGGGGUGCAAGUGAGGAGGUUUCCCUAUAAAAGAGGAGCGAUCCCCCGGGCAGUGGCCAUGCCUUCGUUCUCCCCUCAUGCAUUGCGCCCUUCCACCUUUCGAGCCCUCGGAUGGGGUGCACCAGUUCGCCUUCUUCUUGCUAUCGUUGGAGGAGCGCGGCCUCGUGGAAAUCGGCGCCCUUCAGCCACCGCUCGGCUUCAAGGAUUUUCGUCGUGCAGCCCGGCUGCAUUCCCUCACCAACGGUCAGUUUGGUGGGGAGAAGCAAGCCGGGCUGUGGCCUCCGCCCCUCCCUCAGCUUCAAGGAUCUUCGUUAUCCUUGCUGUGGCGGAGGGCGAGCUGAGCCAGGGUCUGCCUCUGCAUAGGCAGCGGCCCGCUCUUUCCCUCAGUGAUCUAGGGAGAAGGGCGUUCACCUCCUGUGGCGCUGACAGCUGCCGCGCGUCUGGCUCCCUGGCGCGAGCGGCCCCGGCGCUGCUUCCGGUGUCGCCCCCACCACUGGUCCUUGCUGCGCCGCCAGCUGUUGGGGGUCGCCCAACAUGUCGUACGCCACGAGGGCGGCGUUCGUGUUCUGGGACGGCCUCGUUCUCGUUCUUGUGGCGAGGACGGGAGUAAGGACCUGCCGGUGCGCUUUGGGGCAGACGCCGUACGCCGGUGGGGUGUUGGUGGGCAGAUGGCCGUUGGCGCUGAGGUGGUGGCAGCCAGAGAGCCACCUGGAGUUUGUUGUCCCGCAGGCCCUCUGGUGUGGAGGUUGUUCAUACCCGCGGGAACGGAACCGGAGUCCCGUUUGUAAGGGGAUAUACUGGGUUUUUGCCGGAGCAAAAUGUAACCGCUUCAAGUACUUAGACAUUUGUCGUAGGUCGGGAGAACCGCCGAGGGUUCUGCCGACGUCUAAGCCUGUGCAGCAUAGUUACCCUAAGUAUAUGUGUUUGUUCUGCGUGGCUGUCGAGGGCUGAACAUUUAGGUAUUUGAGUAUAAAGCUGCGUUUCUUCCUCAUUUCGAGCACUGGGACUUUCCUGUUGGCUAGCCGAACCACUUAAUCGAGCGUGAGUUGCCUUUCGUGGAAGGUGACGAGUGAGGUAUCCGUAUUCCGGAGGCGUAGGAGUCCCUCGGCUCAGUCGGCCUUGCCACUCUAGGCCUCUCUUGCUCAGUUUUUAGGACCCUCGGCUGCUCUGCGAUGAGCCGGAGCCGAAGGCAGCGGUGUUGGCACGGAUAGAGGCGGAGUCGGCCCGAAAAGAGACUUCAUUGGCCCGGGAGCUGGCGGCUUCCCAGGCCGAGGAAGAUGUGGCAGCAGCAGCUGGAGCUUGGCCAAGACAUCCGCUGGCGCGGUGCUGGCGUCCUCCCUUGGGUGGAGGUCCCUUCGCCUGGGUCACCGUCCGAGGCCAGGCCAGGUUCCACCGAGGGUGGAAACAACGCCGAGGGUGCUGCUGCUCCCCCUGCCGAUGCCUGAACCUGCAGAAACAGUUUGUCUGUAGCAUGCGCAUGUUUUUCGCGGCCGUCGAGGCCUAAACACUUUAUCGUCGUGUUAAAAAGCUGUGUUUUCUUUCCUCUCGUUUCGAGCAUCACGACUUGUCUGUCAGUAGCAGAAUCGUUUAUCCAAGCGAGAGUUACUUCUCGCGGAAGGUGAUGAGUGAGGUAUCCGUAUCCCGGAGGCGUAGGAGUUCCUCGGCUCGGUCGGCCUUGCCGCUUACGUGCACUCUCAUUUGGUCGUAGGAUUCUGUUAUUGAUACAGUCGAGAAGGCACGAAAGUCGUUUUCUACACGAGUGUUUGGACUUGCUCGGUAGCAGGAUCGCUUAUCCGAGCGUGAGUUACUUCUCGCGGAAGGUGAUGAGUGAGGUAUCCGUAUCCCGGAGGCGUAGGAGUUCCUCGGCUCGGUCGGCCUUGCCGCUUACGUGUACUCUCGUCAUUUUCAGGAUCCCGCUAUCGAUACGGAAGUCGAAAGCACGAAGGUCGUUUUGGUAGAAAAUUUUUUCCGAGGAAAAUUUUGACGCAGAGGGGGUUCCCCCCUUCUAGCCCCGAGGGAGGGUCGGGCUUUGCUGAGGCAAGGCCGACCCUUCCUUGACGGUUAGACUUUGAGUAUGUAAAGAAAACGAGGUACAUGAACGACUUAAAACAUCUUAAGGGUAGAAGUGACGUAGCUGUUGGAUGUUCCAAGCGUUGUUGUAGACCUCGCCUUGGUCGUUGGCCAGCUUGUAUGUUCUGGGCUUCAAAAUCUUAGCGAUGAUGAAGGGCCCUUCCCAGGGAGGAGUGAGCUUGUGGCGCCCUCGGGCGUCCUGUUGCAGACGAAGCACCAAGUCUCCCACUUGGAAGCCUCGGGGCCGAACGUUUCGGGCGUGGUAGCGUCGCAGAGACUGCUGGUACCAUGUCGAAUGUAGUAAGGCAACGUCUCGAGCCUCUUCGAGCUGGUCCAGCGAGUCCUCUCGGCUGGUCUGGUUGCUUCGGUCGUCGUACGCCCUGGUCCUUGGGGAGUCGUAUUCUAAGUCCGUGGGGAGGACGGCCUCGGCCCCAUAGACUAGAAAAAACGGCGAGAAACCCGUGGCACGGCUCAGCGUCGUCCUCAGACUCCAGACCACCGAGGGUAGCUCUUUCAUCCACCGCUUGCCGAACUUGUUGAGGUCGUUGUAGAUCCUCGGUUUGAGUCCCUGCAAAAUCAUACCAUUGGCACGCUCCACCUGCCCAUUCGUCAUGGGGUGAGCUAUGGCGGCCCAGUCCACACGGAUGUGGUGGUCGUCGCAGAAGUCCAGGAACUUUUUUCCGGUGAACUGCGUGCCAUUGUCGGUGAUGAUGGAGUUUGGGACCCCGAAUCGAUGGAUGAUGUUGGUGAAGUACGCCACCGCCUGUUCGGACCUGAUGCUGGUCAAGGGUCGGACCUCGAUCCACUUGGAGAAUUUGUCGAUGGCGACCAGCAGGUGUGAGAAGCCCCCGGGUGCCUUCUGCAAGGGACCAACGAGGUCUAGACCCCACACAGCAAACGGCCAGGUGAUGGGUAUCGUCUACAGGGCCUGAGCGGGCAGACGUGUCUGCUUUGUGUAGAAUUGACACCCUCGGCAGGAGCGAACAAUCCUAGUGGCGUCGGCCACCGUGGUUGGCCAGUAGAAACCUUGUCGAAAGGCAUUCCCGACGAGGGCUCAAGGUGCUGCAUGGUGGCCGCAAGCCCCCGAGUGUAUUUCUUGCAAUAGCUCUUGUCCUUGGGCGAUGGAUAUGCAUCGUUGGAGGAUGCCCGAGGGGCUGCGGUGAUAGAGCUCAUUUUCAUCACCCAGCAAGACGAACGACUUGGCGCGUCGAGCCAGUCGCUGAGCUUUGGCCUUGUCGAGGGGAAGCUCUCCUCGGAGGAGAUAUUCCAGGUAUGGGGUCUGCCAGUUCGAAUCUGGCGUGACCCUAUUCUGUUCCCUCUCGACGGGCAAGGCCUCCUCCUCGAUGGCCAAGGGUACCUCGGGCUCGGGCGAGGGUACCUCGGGCUCGGGCGAGGGUACCUCGGGCUGGGCCGAGGCUUCCUCGGGCUCGGACGUGUCGUCGAUCUUGACGGAUGGUUGAUGUAGGUCUCUGGAGAAGACGUCCGGGGGAACCGUUGUCCGCCCCAAGGCUAUCUUCGCCAGCUCAUCCGUAGUCUCGUUGUAGUGUCGGGCGAUGUGGUUGAGCUCCAGCCCGUAGAACUUGUCUUCCAGGCGCCGGACUUCGUCGCAAUAGGCUUCCAUCCUUCGGUCGCGACAGCGGGAGUUCUUCAUGACUUGGUCGAUGACAAGCUGUGAGUCGCCACGAGCAUCGAGGCACCGGACCCCUAGCUCGGCAGCGAUGCGCAGCCCGUUAACCAGAGCCUCGUACUCGGCCAUGUUGUUUGAUGCCGGAAAAUGGAAGCGUAUGACGUAGCGAAGAUGCUUUCCGAGGGGUGAAACGAAGAGCAAGCCAGCGCCUGCUCCUGUUUUCAUGAGUGACCCAUCGAAGUACAUGGUCCAAAGCUCGGGUUGGAUUGGAGUUGUUGGCAGCUGGGUGUCAGUCCACUCAGCCAGGAAGUCUGCCAAGACCUGGGAUUUUAUGGCCUUCUGAGGGGCGAAUGAUAGCGUUUCGCCCAUGAGUUCCACCGCCCACUUUGUUAUCCUACCCAAGGCCUCACGACACUGGAUGAUCUCCCCCAGGGGGAAGGAUGACACCACAGUCAUCGGAUGAGACUCGAAGUAGUGUCGCAACUUUCGUCGUGUCAGAACCACUGCGUAGAGCAGCUUCUAGAUCUGCGGGUAGCGGACUUUGGUCUCAGAAAGCACUUCGCUGAUGAAGUAGACUGACCUCUGGACGAGCAGUGCAUGCCCUUCUUCUCGUCUCUUGACUACGACCGUGGCGCUGACCACCUGAGUGGUUGCGGCUACGUAGAUCAAGAGGGCUUCUCCUGCAGCGGGGGGCACCAGGAUGGGUGCAUUUGUAAGGAGCGCCUUAAGGUUUCCGAGGGCUUCCUCGACCUCGAGGGUCCAAGUGAAGCGCUCCGCCUUCCUUAAGAGGCGGUACAGAGGCAAGCCUUUCUCGCCAAGGCGUGAGAUGAAGCGGCUCAGAGCCGCAAGGCAUCCCAUGACCCUCUGUACUCCUUUCAAAUCUUUGAUCGGUCCCAUGUUGGUGAUGGCCGCGAUUUUCUCCGGAUUGGCCUCGAUGCCCUGCUCGGAGACGAUGAAUCCCAGGAGCAUGCCUCGGGGGACUUCAAAGACACAAUUCUUGGGAUUGAGUUUCACGCCUUUCGCUCUCAGACACUUGAAUGUCGUUUCAAGGUCAGAGAGGAGGUCGGAGGCUUUCUUCGUCUUGACAACGAUGUCAUCGACGUAAGCCUCGACCGUUCUGCCGAUGUGUUCUCCGAACACGUGGUUCAUGCACCUCCGGUAGGUGGCGCCUGCAUUCCUCAAACCAAAUGGCAUUGUAGUGUAACAGUACAUGCCAAAAGGUGUGAUAAAAGAAGUCGCGAGCUGGUCGGACUCUUUUAUCUUGAUUUGGUGAUAGCCUGAGUAGGCAUCAAGGAAUGACAGGGUUUCACACCCAGCAGUGGAGUCCACAAUUUGAUCGAUGCGAGGUAGAGGGUAGGGAACUUUCGGACAUGCUUUGUUUAGACCAGUGUAGUCUACACACAUCCUCCAUUUCCCAUCCUUCUUCCUUACAAGAAUAGGGUUAGCUAACCAUUCGGGAUGGAAUACCUCUUUGAUGAACCCUGCCGCGAGUAGCUUGUGGAUCUCCUCGCCUAUGGCUCUGCGCUUUUCUUCGUCAAAAUGGCGUAGGGUUUGCUUCACGGGUCGAGCUCCAGCUCUGAUGUCCAGUGAGUGCUCGACGACAUCCCUCGGUAUGCCGGGCAUGUCCGAGGGACUCCACGCAAAGACUUCAGCGUUUGCGCGGAGAAAGUCGACGAGCACUGCUUCCUAUUUGGGGUCGAGCUCGGAGCCGAUCCGGACUUUCUUGCUGGCGUCGUUGCUGGGGUCGAGAGAGACGGACUUGACCACCUCAACUAGUUCGAAGUUGCCGGGGCGCUGCUUCGCGUCGGGUGCCUCCUUAGAGAGGCGUUCCAGGUCGGCGAUGAGGGCCUCGAACUCGGCGAGGGCCUCAGCGUACUCCACGCACUCCACAUCGCAUUCGUACGUGUGGCGGUACGUGGAUCCGACGGUGAUGAUCCCGUUCGGGCCCGACAUCUUGAGCUUGAGGUAGGUGUAGUUGGGGACGACCAUGAACUUGGCGUAGCACGGCCUUCCCAACACCACAUGGUAGGUUCCUCGGAACCCGAUGACCUCGAAGGUGAGAGCUUCCUUUCGGAAGCUGGAGGGAGUCCCGAAGCAGACGGGUAAGUCGAUCCGCCCGAGGGGGAGGAUACGCUUUCCAGGUAUGAUCCCGUGGAAGGGUGCCGCACCGGCCCGGACCUCGGACCGAUCAACCCCCAAGAGUUCUAGGGUCUCGGCGUAGAGAAUGAUGUUAAGGCUGCUGCCUCCAUCCAUGAGGACUUUGGAGAGCCUAACGUUGCCGAUGAUCGGAUCGACGACGAGCGGGUACCUUCCUAGGCUUGGCACGAAGUCGGGGUGGUCGCCUCGGUCGAAGGUGAUAGGCUUGUCGGACCAGUCUAGGUAGACUGGCGCUGCCACCUUCACCAAGCAGACCUCCUGGCGCUCCUGCUUGCGGUGCCGAGCCGAGGCGUUCGUCGCCUGCCCGCCGUAGAUCAUGAAGCAGUUGUGGACCUCCGGGAACUCCUCUUCCUUGCCGCCCUCCUUCUUGUUGUCGUCAUGGCCCUUGCCAUCUUCUGCCGGGGGCCCGGUCUUAUGGAAGUAGCGUCGGAGCAUGACACAUUCUUCGAGGGUGUGCUUGACGGGCCCCUGGUGAUAGGGGCACGGCUCCUCGAGCAUCUUGUCGAACACGCCGGCCCCUCCAGGAGGUUUCCGAGGGUUCCUGUGCUCGGCCGCAGCGACGAGAUUCACGUCGGCGGCGUCUCGUUUUGCUUGCGACUUGUUCUUGGCCUUCUUCUUCGUGCCCCGCUGGGCGGACGCCUCGGGGGCGUCUUUCUUCGGCUCUCCCUGAGGGUGCUUGUCUUUCCGGAAGAUGGCUUCGACCGCCUCUUGACCCGAGGCAAACUUGGUGGCGACAUCCAUCAGUUUGCUCGCACGGGUGGGAGUCUUGCGCCCCAGUUUGCUCACCAGGUCUCGGCAAGUGGUGCCGGCAAGGAAAGCCCCGAUGACAUCCGAGUCGAUAACGUUGGGCAGCUCGGUGCGCUGCUUUGAAAACCGCUGGAUGUACUCUCGGAGGGACUCCCCUGGCUGCUGGCGGUAGCUUCGGAGAUCCCACGAGUUCCCAGGGUGCAUGUACGUGCCUUGGAAGUUUCCCGCGAAAGCCUUGACCAGAUCGUCCCAGUCAGAGAUCUGCGCAGGAGGCAGAUGCUCCAGCCAGGCUCGGGCGGCGUCGGAGAGGAAAAGGGGUAGAUUAUGGAUGAUGAUGUUGUCAUCAUCUGCCCCUCCCAAUUGGCAUGCCAGUCGGUAGUCCACGAGCCAUAGCUCUGGCCUCAUCUCCCCCAAGUACUUGUUGAUGGUAGUCGGGGCUCGGAAACGGGCGGGGAACGGCGCUCGUCGUAUGGCCCGGCUGAAGACUCGUGGACCGGGUGGUUCGGGCGAGGGGUUGCGAUCCUCCUCGCUGUCGCAGCGUCCUCCACGCUUGGGAUGGUAGCCUCGGCGCACCUUCUCAUCGAGGCAGGUUUGACGGUCGAGAUGGUGGUGCUCGUUGCCGAGGCGAUCCCGGGCAGCAAGCGCCUCGUCCCGCGUGCGCUUGGGAUGGACCGAGGCUUCCCGCAUGCGUCGGGAGGACACCACGUGAUGCUCCGAGGGGUCAGCUCGCCUCCGGGAGGCGGAGCUCUCGGCUCGUCAAACUGCGGCGCAUUCCAGGAGAUCCUUGAGUUUGCCCUGGAUACGCCGUCCCUCGGUGGUGGAUGGCUCUGGCAUGGCUCGAAGUAGGAUCGCCGCUGCGGCUAGGUCCUGGCCGGACCCGCUGACGGCCGGGGACAGUGCUGCCCUGGCAUUGUCGACGAUGCGACGCUGGACAUCUUGGGCCCGAUGACAGGCUCCUCCGGCGAGUGUUCGGCCUGCCCACUUCUGCUUGAUGUUCUGUCAGAGCUGCACAAGCCGGCCUGCUUCCCCGUCGACCCAGGCCUACAUCUCACGGAUUUGCUCGAGCUGUAUGUCUCGACCCCCCACAGGGACUGGGACCACAUCUAGCUCCCGCGGGAUGUCAACGUGAGAUGCAGGCCCAGGGGGAUCGUCAACCUCCGGCAUACCGAGGUGGUUGCCUUCGUUGUGAUCUCCCUGAUCGACAUUGAAACAUUCGCGACUUGGGCCGUAACCCUCGUUGCCAAGGCCGUGGCCAUCGUCAGAACAAUCGGAGAGACAGUGGUCACAUGCGGACAUGAAGUCCCGCAUGGCACCGGGGUCACUGAGGCCAGAGAAUUCCCAACCGAAGUCGGCGUCGUCCUCUUCCUCAGAACCCGCCGGCCCGAAGGUUAAGACAGCUGUCAGUCGGUCCUAGGUCGACCACAUAUGGUACCCCGGAAGGUUUGGAUACACCUUUACGAAGGCGCUCACCAUAGCGGGGUCGCUAGGUGGAUCGAAGCUGAAUCGAAAGGGUACGGGAUGGAAAACGGACGGUACCUCUUGGUCGAUGGACGGUGGUGAAGUCACGUUGGGGGCGGAGCACACCGUCAUCUCAGGUACGAGGGUAACGCCCAGCAGAGCCUUUGCGAGGGUGCUGGUGUCAUCAGUCCGCUUGGGGUUGACACGUUGUGGGGAAGUGACACCCGCCGUCCUCUCAGGUGCGAGGACAAUGCCCGACAUGUCCCACAGGGGAGUGCCGGCGUCGUUGACUCGCUCUGGUGCGACAUCUGACAAGGUGCCGCCUCCUGCGUGGCCAUGGUUGCCCUGUCUCCGCCUCCUCCGGCGAGGAGGGUGGCAGGGACGACCGGAGUGCUCCCUUCCGCCGCGGGGAGAUGUUGUCGCCGAGUUCGCCGCCGCCGGGCGAGUCGAAGACCGUCGCCGUCGUCGCGCCGUGAGGGGAGGAGUACCAUGUCGUAGCUGCCGUCGAGGGACGUGAACUCGAGAUUCCCGAAGCGGAGCACCGUCCCAGGCUGAAGAGGUUGAUGAAGACUCCCCAUCUGGAACUCAACGGGAAGGCGUUCGUUAACACGCAGCAGGCCCCUACCUGGUGCGCCAACUGUCGGCGUUUCGGACAUGGGGGGUCCCUGGACCGGCGAGUGAGAUUGUCGCUGCAUGCUCCUGCCCAGAUGGGUUGGCGCGGGAUGGAACACAAGAUGUGGGGCAAGCCUUGUAUUAUCCUGCACCAGGGGUGCCGCUCGUAAUAGGGGUUACAAGCACGUCGCGAGAGGGAGAGAGAGAGUGAGAGAGAGCCUGUUCGUUCGCUCCUUCCCCCGCGCGACCCCCCCCCCCUCCAGGAUGGCCCUGGACCUCCCUUUUAUAGACGUAAGGAGAGGGUCCAGACGUACAAUGGGGGUGUAGCUAUGAGCUAACGUGUCGGCAGAGAAAUGCCUAAGCCUUGUGUACAUGCCAACGUGGCUGUGGGGGGAGAGCUUGAGCCCUGUACACGUGAUAGUGUGGUCGUCGGAGAAGCGCCUGAGCCCUGUAGAAGCACAGUUGGCAGCGCGGCAAGGAUCCUGCUGACGUCUCCUUGCUGUCGUAAGGGGCUGAGAGCCACCGGCGUCAUGGUUGCACGCGGGGCACCAUCAUUACCCGUCGCCGGGGUAAGCCAGAUGGGACGCCGGUCUUGUUCCUUGUAUCCUGAGCUGGCUAGGGAUAGGGUAAUGAUGUAUCCCCUGUUGGCGCAGUUGGUCCGAGCCCAAGGUCGGGCGAGGUGGAGACUUCUCUUGAGGCCGAGGCCAGGGUCGAGCGAGGACGCGAUUCCUCCCGAGACCGAGGUCGAGGCCGAGUCCGGGGGUCGGGCGAGGCGGAGACCUCCUCCCGAAGCCGGAGCCUAAGGUCGGGCGAGGCGGAGCUUCCUGUUGCGCCCGAGGCCGAACUCGGUGGUUGAUUGCGACUUGUUGUCAGCUUCGCCUGGGUGGUUGGCACGGCAGUCGGAGCGGGGCGAGCGGCACUGUUUUCCCGUCAUAUCGGACAGUAAAAGAGAGGGGCGAAGUGACUGCGGUCACUUCGGCCUGGCCGACUGAGGCGCGUGUGUCAGGAUACGGCGUCAGGCGUCCCCUGCAUUAAAUGCGCCUGCGAAGCGGUCGGUUGGUGAGGCGGUCCGGCCAAGGUUGCUUCACAACGAAGCCUACCCGAGCCGGGCUUCGGGAGAGCCGAGGAGGCGCCCGCUGCUUGAGGAGGCCCUCGGGCGAGGCGUGAACUCGUCUGGGACUACUGCUCCAGCCCGAGGCUGGUCUCGGGUGUGGUCGUGUCCCUUGGGUAGACAAAGCCUUGACUUGAACCGCGCCCGUCAGUUGGUCAGAGGGUGUUUACCAGCCGUGAUUAGGAGCGUUGGGGGUACCCCUAAUUAUGGUACCCGACAGAAAGGGUUGAAAGAGACCUGGUCUUUGUGACCACCUCAAUGGGGAGUAGGUUUGCAAGAACCGAACCUCGGUAAAACAAAUCACCGUGUCACACUCUUCAUUUGCUUGUGAUUUGUUUUCGCCCUCUCUUUGGACUCAAUUUUAUUUCUAACGCUAACCCCGGCUUGUAGUUGUGCUUAAAGUUUAUAAAUUUCAGAUUCCGCCUAUUCACUCUCCCUCUAGGCGACUUUCAGUAGGUAUGGAAAAUACACAUGAGGACAUUAUCUCUUCUUAUGAUUUACAAUUUUGGGUAUUACAAAUCCUACCCCCUUAACAAGAAUCUCGUCCCCGAGAUUUAGGAAGGACUAUGGAAAAGAUGGGGAAAUUCUAUGCGAAGCUCUUCUUCUCUCUCCCAAGUAGCUUCAUCUUCUCCGUGAUGGCUCCAUUGUACUUUGCGCAUCUUUACCACUUUAUUUCUUGUAACUCGAGUCAAAGUAUCAAGAAUCUUGAUAGGAUAUUCUGUAUAAGUCAAAUCACCCUGAACACUGAGCUCUUCCAUUGGUAGCUGUUCCUCAGGGACAUUGAGACACUUCUUAAGUUGAGAUACAUGGAAUAAAUUGUGCACAUCGGGUAGAUUGUCAGGUAGCUCGAGUUAGUAUGCCAUCUCCCCAACUCGCCUAAAAACUCUGAAGGGUCCAAUAAAGUGAGGGGACAAUUUGCCCUUAACCUUAAAUCUCCUCAUUCCAUGAAGUGGUGACACCUUGAGGUACACAUGAUCACCUUCCUCAAACUCCAGUGGUCUCCUUCUAUUAUCAGCGUAGCUCUUUUGCCUGGUUUGAGCUACCCUCAAAUUCUCCCGGAUUAUACGGACUUGUUCCUCUACCUCUUGAAUAAGCUCAGGCCCAAAGAACUGUCUUUCUCUAGUCUGAUCCCAAUAUAGAGGAGUCAUGCACUUCCUGCCAUAUAAAGCUUCAAAUGGUGACAUCUUCAGACUGGCCUGGUAACUAUUAUUAUAUGAGAACUCAGCAUAUGGUAGACUCUUAUCCCAACUGCCUCUAUGCCGAAGGGCACAAGCUCUCAACAUAUCCUCAAGUACUUGAUUGGUCCUUUCAGUCUGGCCAUGAGUAUGAGGGUGAUAAGCCGUACUAAAGUUCAACUUUGUAUUCAUAUUCUCGUGAAAGCUUCUCUAGAAUCUUGAGGUAAUCCGUGAACCUCGAUCAGACAUGAUCUUCUUUGGUACUCCAUGUAAACACACAAUCCAAGCCAUGUAUAACUCUAUCAGAUGAGAGCCUUUAUAAGUAGUCUUGACCGAAAUGAAAUGAGCUACUUUGGUCAGUCUAUCCACAAUCACCCAUAUGGAAUCAUAUCCCUUCGAGGUGCGAGUCAAUCCGGUAAUGAAAUCCAUACCAAUCUCUUCCCACUUCUAUUCGGGUAUCUUUAAUGGUUGCAGUAGUCCAGCUGGUCUUUGAUGUUCAGCCUUGACUCUUUGACACACAUCACACAUAGCUACGUGUGCAGCCACAUCUCUCUUCAUCCCAUUCCACCAGUACUUUUACUUCAAAUACUGAUACAUCUUAGUGCUACCAGGAUGAAUAGAAUAAUCAGAGUCAUGGGCUUCCUUCAAUAUAGUCUCACGAAGGCUGUCAAUCUCAGGAACACAUAUCUGGUUCUUGAACCAUACUGUGUCGUGCUCAUCCUCCGUGAAUUAUGGACCUCUACCUUCAGUAAUAAGAUCCUUGAUCUCUUGAAUUUUGGCAUCACCAAUCUGACCUUUGCGAAUUUCUUGCUCCAAGGUAGGUUCGACAUCAAUAGUGACUCCUUCAGUGUGAGCAACUAUCCCCAGGUUGAGUCUUCUAAAAUCUUCAGCAAUCUCAUCGGGUAUCUGGGCAACAAUAGCUGCAUAGAUGUGUUCCUUCCGACUCAAGGCAUCUGCAACCAGAUUCGCCUUGCCCGGGUGAUAGUGAAUCUCCAGGUCAUAGUCCUUAAUAAGCUCCAACCAUCGGUGUUGCCUAAAGUUGAGAUCCUUCUGACUGAAUAUGUACUUCAAGCUCUUGUGAUCGGUGUACACUUGGCACUUGGUUCCCAUAAUAUAAUGCUCUCCAUAUCUUGAGCGCAUGCACUAUGGCUGCCCGUUUUGAGUCAUGAGUGGGAUAGUUCAACUCAUGUUUCCGCAACUGCCUUGUUUGGCACAACUGAAACUUAUUCAGAAGCCAGCUGAUGGCUAGCUGGUCCGAGAAGCAGCUGAGCAGAGAAGCGGCUAGUAUGUUAAGCUAGUUGUUUGGCAGUUUGCUUAUUGAAUGGGCUGGAGCCUAUUAAAAGUAAGAAGUGUUUGAAAUACCUUUACUAUUCCUUAACUAAAGCACAUAUAUUUUUAACCAUAUAAUAAUAUACUAAAAAUAUAAAUACAUCUAAAAUUACAUAUACAUUAUCAGUAACCUCCCAUUAAUGCUUGAGCUAUGGCAUCACGCACACCUCCCAUACCUUUGUAAUCCACAACAUCACUUGUACUAGCUCCCAUGUCCCCAUCCACAUAUGUCUCAUCUGAUGCUAGUGUAUCAAAAUGAACAUCACUCAAAUUACUAUCUCUAAUAAAGUUAUGCAACACCAUACAAGCAAUUAUGAUCUUUGUUUGCUUCUCCAUUGAGUAGCUCGGUACAUUUAGAAGAAUGCGCCAUUUCAUUUUCGAAACUCCAAAUGAACGUUCAAUGACAUUUCUAAGCGACGAGUGAGCAUGGUUGAACAACUCCUUGAACCCAAUAGUUUGACUGCCAUUUUGAAAUUCUGGUAUGUGGUACCUUUGACCUUUGUAUGGUGCUAGAUAACCAUUUUGAUUUGGAUAACCUGAGUCAACAAGAUAGUACUUUCCUUGAGGAGGAUGUGGAAACUCAUCCUUGUACUUUUUCAACAAAGUGUCUCUCCAUAUGUGUGUGUCAUGAGCUGACCCAGGCCAUCCUGUCACCACAAAUGUGAACCUCAUAUUGAAAUCACAAACAACCAUAACAUUCUGACUACAAUAUCCAUGUCGAUUCAUAUGCACUGCCUGUUCUGAUGAUGGAAUAGUGACUCUGAAAUGGGUACCAUCAAUGGUGCCUAUACAAUUUCUGAAAUGAGGCCAAGAUCUAUGCUCUCGAAUUUUUGGAUGCACCACAGUGAAGGUAGGAUCUUUUGGUUUGAUGUUUUGAGCAGCCAAACGGUUCACACAUUGUAAAACAUCAUUGAACCUUCUACUAACAGUUUCUAAAGAAGGGCUAAAAUGUGUUUUGCUUGGCGAAAUGACUGAGGUGCACUGCACAUCCAUAAAAACAUGUUGAGUGCUUCUAUCGACAUCAUCUCAUUUGAAGAUGUUAAGCCAUAACUGUUAACCAACACCUCACGCAAAUUGUAAAACACUGACCUUCUCAUUCGGAACAUAUUAUAACAACUCUUUGGAUCUCUAAGCUGUCAUUGAACCCACUUAUAGCAUGUCUCUUCGGGCACUUUUCUUGGUUUGUUUUGAGAUGAAGAUGCCCCACAGUCGAGCAUUGCAUAUGCUGCAAUUGCAGCAGCUUCAUACAUCCAAUCACUUGAUUCACUUGAAUUACUUGCCUCAUUUGACUCACUUGAAUCCAUCUGCCAUAAGGAUUACAAAAGCAUUACAUACACCAAAAUUAUGAGCCAUUCAUGAUAAGGAUAAAGAGAUCUCAUAACAGAACUAAACCAUACAUGAUUAAAUUAGGUCAACAUUCAAAGUUAUUACAACACAAAUGAUAAUCUCAAGUUCCUAUGCAAAGUUAUUGCAACACAGAUGAUAAUUUGAAGAUACAAUGCAAGAAACAACACAAAGGUAGUACUAUCUAGCGGUUCUUCCUCUCCUCCCAUGUUCUCUUAAGCCAUGCAAGCUUCCCUUCAGCGGUUUUAAGAGUGACAAACACAUCUUUGUACUCCUUCUUGAUAAGGAGUUGUGUGGCAUAAAAAUGUUCAUCACUUCCUUCACCUGCCCCAGGCUCAAUAACUGAUUCCAACAUUUCUGCUAUCUCUUGCCUAACAUAAUCAUUAUGCGAAGAGGUUGCAGAAGACUUGCUUGAACUAGCUUUUUCCACAAAUGAAUCAACAAAACGUUUGAACUACAAGUCUCUAAAAUUCUUCUUUGUUUUCUUAAUUGGGGAAUUCUGAGCAGCACCUCUUUUCCUGGAGGGUUUGUCACCCGGACUUGGAAGCACCUCCUCUACAUCAUUAUCAUUACCAUUCAACUCCUCAUUUGCACCUGGAGCCAUAACAUAUACAUUGGUACAGGACGCACUACUAAACAUGAUUUCAAGGUCUUCUUCAUUCUCCAAUGGGGCAAGUCUAAACUUUUUGGCUUGUGGCAUAGCCUGCAACACAACAACAAUAUUAAUUCAUAUAAUCAUGUGACACAUGUUAUAUAUUAGAAUCCAAUACAAGUUGCAUACCUUAAUUUUUUCUUCACACCAUUCAUUACUAGCUACAAUUGACCCAGUCCUUGGGUCUCUUCCUAACCCAGAUGCACUAAGGAGUAAUGUCUUCCAUGCUAUAAAUUCAGAUUUCAGUGCAUCCCAACGAUUUUUCAUUUGAACACGAGUGUAGUUUCUACCCGUUUGUUCAUUAAACUUGGUAACAAGAUUGGCGUAACCUUUGAUGUUCAAGCAACCCUGUGGCCUAUUCUUUGCUAAUACUUGUUCCACACAAAUGUCAUUAAAAAUUUUAGCAGCUGUUGGAUCCCAUUGUGCAUUGGGUUUCCUGAUCUUUGGCAUGUCCUCCAUCUAUGCGUUCAAGAAACAUACUCACUGAUUUUUAAAGCAAAAAUUCAUGCAUAUAGUGUUCAGAUUUCAAUGGAUCAAACUGCAGAAAUUCAAUAAACCAGAACAAUUUAUUACCUUACUCAGAGGGGCAAAAGGAACUAGGGCGUCGUACCUGGGCGUUCGGUGUCCAGGUGCUCGAAGGAGGGGGGUGGAGCAGAAGAUGUAGGUGAAGCAGCUUCGUCGGACGCUAGUGCAGUGAGGGUCGCGGUGUUCGUCAGAUUUCCAAAACCCUAGCCGCUGCCAUCCUAGGAGACAAGAAGAGCGGAAGAAAAGUGCGAGAUGGACACUCAGGUGCGGGAGGGUGAGAUGAUCGAUCCUUUUAUAUGAUGGAAAAAGCGGGUAAAUAUAUGUGAACUUGGAGGACAGUUUGACCGCAUAAGCGGUGAGAAGCGCCCUGCUCCCAGCGUCUGAUUUUCCACUGAUUUUACGAACGUUUUGUUGAGCGCAGGUUUCGAACGCGGGACAAGAAGCAGACUGUUUGCCUGCUGCACCGCUUAAACUUAAUGAGAAGUUGGCCAAUAAGCUGCCCCAAACAGGCCCUAUCAGUCGUGCUCAUGAUCAUGAGUGGCUCGGACAGUCACAUGAUUAAUUUAUGAAACUAAACUUAAUUUGUCAUAUGCAUUGCAUCGAGGGUGUUGUUAUUAAUCUUAAUCUCUUAUUUAAUUGCGUUGGUAUCUACUUAUACCUAAUAACUGCUAAUAAAAUUUUGACAAACUUUAAAAGCAAUGCCCAGCUUUAACUAUCCUCCUUGGUAAGCCUUACACUUUACAUGAGCUCCCACCUUUGAUGAGUUUAUGCACAUUAUUUCCCAUAACUUGUUGAGCGAUGAACGUAUGUAAGCUCAUCCUUGCUGUACUCACAUCCGCCAGGUCAAGAACAGGUACCACAGGAUGAUGCGCAAAGAGGAUGUUGCGAUGAGAUCGUGAGAGGUCUAGGCCGUCGUCUCCUAGUUAACUUUGUGUUGCUGGAUCGUUGCCUUCGUAUGAUAUAAUUAUUUAACUAUUUUUUACAGAACUUAUAUUGUAUAGUAAAGAUGUAACAUUCGUUUCUGUACUAUGAGUCAUCAUAUAUGUGUGAGACUUAAUCCUCAGAUACUUGGUGAUUAUCUCGCGCCUGGGUUUUGAUUAGGGCCGGGCCUAGGCAUGUGCGAGCCGUACGCUCGCACAGGGCCUCCAAAAAUUGAGGGCCCCAAAAUUUAGCAGAUGUAUAUAUUCUAGUUUUAUGAUAUUUUACACAUGUUAAUAUGUAGCACAUAUUUUCCUCCCUACCAUACCUCUGCGUUGAAACGAAACUACCGAGCCCUGCACUAAAGAAUAAAUCUUCAUAGAAUAUUAACAUAUCUAUCCGCGUGAACAAAGUUCUCUAAAUUAAAGCUACUAAAUUUAUAUUUGUGUUCUACUAUGAUAAAAAAGACGUAUUAUUUAGCCACAAUAGCAGAGUGAAGCUUUGGAGAAGAUCGAAUAUAAGCAUAUUGUACAAAAUUUUCUUUAAAACACAAUAAAAGAACGAUGCUAUUCAAAUAAAAUAGAAAUGUUUCUUUAGAUAUUCUAUUGCAUUAUAUAUUAUUGUAACUUGCAGAUUGUUAUUACUGAUUUUUAAUUAAAAUAUACAUUACACUCUUUAGAUUUGGCACAGGGACUCAAAUUUUUCUGGCCCGGCCCUGGUUUUGAUGCCCCUGAAACCGAGGUGUGACACCAAGUUUGUAGUGCGGUGUGCAGUGUUUAUAUAUGUGUGCGGCUACCAAAGUAAUACAAGUGAGAAAGAUUAAAUUUUUACACAUGCAGACUACAGAAGUACGACAUUUCUUACGUAACAGCUAGUGACUGCAUAGCGGCUGCGGAAAGGGUGACGGGUUGCGCGCGGCACCAACGAGGCUAGUAUACUGUACUUCCAUAGAGCUAGCCGCAUGAUGGGAUCGUCUUUGGUACUCCAUCCACGCAUGUCAAAAAAAAAUGUAUUCAUAUGAUAUUCGUAUGAAUCAAACAUUAUUUAAAAAAAUAAAAGUAACGACAACAAUUUUAUAUGUGUAUAGGUAGGUGCCCGUGCGUUGCCACGAUAUACAAAAUAUUCGAUAAAAUGGGAGUGUCCUUGUGUUUGUCUGUCUUUGUGUUCAAUAGUACACUUGAAGAAGGCGAGAAGCAUGAAAAAAGCGAGUGAGACAUGCAAGCGCACGGUACAAGUAGCAUAUAGUGUGAAAAGAGAAUGAAACAUUUUAACGGUCGCGGGAGUAAAAAAUAGUAUAAAACAUAGAUACAAAACAACGAACAUUAUUAUAAUAUGCAAAAUUCAUAUGGCAAACCAAUCAUUAAUUUUAGUGUGCUGUUAAUUUUGGGUUCCUAGAGCUAACAAAGUUCAUUUGAAUAGAAGACGGUCUACCCAUGGCCAUCCAGUUUUCCUGCCUGACAGUCACAAUCAUUGCUGCAUGCUAAUGAAUUCAUCUCCCUAUGCAUCAUCUCUGACCAACAGGAACUAAAUUUGAUGUUAACUAUCACAUCAACAUUCACCAUUAUAUUGUUGUUUAACACGCAACAUAGAUUCUAUUCACCACAGGGUUAGAGAGAAAACCGACAUUAGGCUAAAAAAAUCCACAGUUACAUCGUCACUCAUGUCUCAUCCCCAAGAUGGCGAGCCUCAUCCUAAAUUCAUCACUUGCCCCAGAAACCAAUGGUCACCACACCUUAUGUCGCUUCCGAAUCAAAGCCCUUAAUUAAUAGAAAGGAUCACCCGGGUGGUGGUCGGCUGCAUUGCGUUGUGGAGAUUGGCAGUGUGCAUCGGCACAACCUUAAUUUCUUACUGUUAGAAUUAGAAAAGUAUUUAACAACAAAUACAUACAUCAUUUUGCUUUUCAGGUACUACACCAUAGGGGCAAGGAAAAUAAAAAAAAGGUUAUUAUACACAUAAUUACACCUACAAACCUCAUAUCAAUCUAUCACUGUUCCCUCAGCGCUAGAGAUCAUGAUCAAGGUUAAGUUCGAUCUUCUGUGGUGGACACUCCCAACCUUAGCCAUGAAAAGAUUGUACACUGGUCCGUGGUCAAAGAAGCGAGACUCUCCGCGGAUGUAGGACGACUGCAAGAGGCCACGGAAUGUGAUCGCACCUUCAAUAAGAUAGAACAAACGACACGUCAGGGAGUUCCUUAGAGAGUAACUCGAUGGAGGAUGCAGUUCUUGUGGAUGACAGGGGCAGAAGAAAUCACCAAGCAUGUGUCCUCCGAUUUUAUUUGGGCCGCACACCAGAGUAACGAUCCGAGUUGAAUGAGUAUUUAUAUGUCGGAGGAAAAUAAAUCAUGCCUUCUUUCCAUCCCUGGAAAAUGCACUCGCGUCUUCACUCUAUCUGAAGCUGUUUAAAACAAGUAAUUUCAAACAUGGUCCCCACACACCCACACUGAUGUAGUGUAAAAGAGCAGUAGCAAACUACCUGAUCUUUCUUUAAUAGUUGCUUCUAAUUAUGCAUUUUGACAAGGGCUUUAGCUAAGCAGUAUGGUAGGGCAAUCCGAUAAUUCAAACCCCAAGCUAAAUGAUACGACUGCAAUUAGGAUAAGAAGUAUCCAAUUAAUGACAGUUCUCCGUUGCUACUACAUCACUGUGCAUAGGAGUAGCAUUGCCUCAGGGAAAAAGAGCAUCGACGCAUACUCAUGCUCAAGAAUCGUUUCUGCUGACUUGACAUCAGUGGCACCACUGGACCUGUGGAAAUCUAGACUUUUCUUAGAAUUCCAUAACAUCAGAUUUCCUCCGUAGCUCAUCUCCCUCCUUUUCACCAGAGAUCAGAUGACAACAUAUAAAACAAAAAGGUUGUGUGGUGCAACAACAUGCUUAUGAAUAUAGAACCCUGCAGAAAAAAUGAAAGCAUGUUCAGUAGUCUAUAUUGUAGUAACAAUGGAGAAAAAUUAAAGCAUGCUCAGUAGUAUAUACUCUUAUAGAAUAGUAGAGAUAUAGGAGAAAGAUUCAGCAGCACAGGGAAACCUUUGCAUCCUGCAUGAUGCUAUAGGAUGGACGAACAUGUACUGCUAACAUGGAUAGAUCAAAGUGGGUUAUGAUGGGGGAGAUGGAUUGAAAAGGCCUCCCAAAUCUUUGCCCUGCCUGCCUUUUCCGCUACUGGACCUGAACUGAUACUACUGUUGUUGCUUCCACCGCUACUUAAGAUUAAUUUAUUGUUGCAUCCUCUUCUUCUUCCUCCCAUGCCAUGAUGCCAUGGCCCUCUACAAACAGCCUUCGACAUAGCCAGCGUUCUUGAACAGCUCCUGCUUUAUUGUGUGCUGAAGAGAGAUUUGGGUGUCUUGGCCAGAAGAGAGGUCAGUUAAUAGUGGAUGAAAAUGAUGAUGAGCAGCCUAAGAAAAAGAUCAGAAUGGGGAUGCACAUUGAAGCAGAUAAACAAAUGAGAUUUAGAUCAGCAGAGAAUUAAUUUAACAUGGGGAAAUCAUUUGGGUUUAAAUAACAUGGGUCACUAAAACUGCAUUACCAGGUAAAAUAUAUGGUCAUAAAAACUAUAGGACAGAAACUGCAGGACAAUGGUCAAAACUUACGGUCAAAACUCGGAUUAGUGAAUUUAAUGUGUUCCUUGAAAUGUGUAGGCCAUCCGAGAUUUGGAGAAGGCAAGAGAAAUAUUAAUUGUGUUGCAUGAUCAGUUAAAUGUAACAAAAACAGUGCUUGAGGUUAAAUAUUUUAUGAUUAUAUGAAAAACAGUGCUUGGUGAAGGUUGAUAUGGGAACUGAACUCAAAACAUGUAUGGAUCAAAAUUGUGUGCUGAAGAGAGAUUUGGGUGUCUUGGCCAGAAGAGAGGCCGUUUAAUAGUGGAUGAAAAUGAUGAUGAGCAACCUAAGAAAAAGAUCAGAAUGGGGAUGCACAUUGAAGCAGAUAACCAAACGAGAUUCAGAUCAGCAGAGAAUUAACUUAACAUGGGGAAAUCAUUUGGGUUUAAAUAACAUGGGUCACUGAAACUGCAUUACCAGGUAAAAUAUAUGGUCAUAAAAACUAUAGGACAGAAACAGCAGGAAAAUGGUCAAAACUUAUGGUCAAAACUCAGAUUAGUGAAUUUGAAGAAGGCAAGAGAAAAAUUAACUGUGCUGCAUGAUCAGUUAAAUGUAACAAAAACAGUGCUUGAGGUUAAAUAUUUUAUGAUUAUAUGAAAAACAGUGCUUGGUGAAGGUUGAUAUGGGAACUGAACUCAAAACAUGUAUGGAUGAAAAUUGUGUGCUCAAGAGAGAUUUGGGUGUCGCAAUUUUUUUCAUGCUAUUAAUAGUACAAAGGAUUAAGAGACAUCUGUUUUCUGAGUUCUGACACAAUUAUUAUCCAAGUGUAUUGGGGCUGUCGGGCUGGUAUUGUUCCCCUUCACACAAUUCAGCUCCAUCGCCAUGCAAUGCAGGUAAUUUGAAACUAUCUAACAUUACGUUUUGGAGGGUCAUGUUUCUCUGCUGAAUCAAUAGUUGCUAAAUAUAUUAAGUGCAUAACUGGACAUGCCCUUGGUCUUCUUGCAAAUGACAAUGGGACUUCUGCAAAAUACAUCAAGAAGCACCAGCUGGUACAUUAUUGUGAAUGAAAUGCUGUCAUGUUCUUGCGUUAAAACAAUACUAUUCUGUUUUCCUAUCGCUAGCCUGUUCGCUGUGGCUGCGUUGCGUUGUGGAGAUUGGCAGUGUGCAUCUGAAUUCUGAAGCAAAGAAGGAGAGAGGCAGGGCCAAAGAAAGAACUGGUUUGGCAUUUUUACUUUGAGCAAAGGGAAAGGCAAGGAAUAAUCAGCAGUAAAAAGGAAAAGCUGUGGGAAAAAAGAAACAAAAUGACUGACGUCGGUUUGUUGAUUCGUAGCACUACCAAUUUCCAUGGCAUCAAUUCAAGCAAUCGACCCCUCUCGACGCUACCCGGUUCAUGCAAUAAUUACAACGACGUUCCCAAGUGAAGCGAAUUGAGAGGAGGGAUGGGAUUGUUUGGGGCUGGAAGGAAUACCUGCUGCACUGCUGGCAGAAGCGCAUCUCGCGGCCGGUGACGACAACGAUGGGCGUCUUGGAGUGCGUCUCACAGACCUUGUGGCGGCGGUGGUAGUCGCGGCACUUGCUUAGGUCGGCCUUGCAGCCGUCCACCGCGCACGACGGGCACUGUGCCCCGCCGGCGCCGCCGGGCCGCAAGCGCGGGCGCUUCAUCGGGGUGGCGGACGGAGCUGCGGUUGCAGCCACCGGCUCCUUCGUGGUUGUGCGGUCCGCCGCCCCGAUCUCGCCUAGCCCGCCGAGCUUGAGGUCGACGGAGCACUCCGCCUCGGACUAAUCCCCAUGUUGACCAUCAAUUGAUUCUCCUGAUGAAAAUACAACAAAAUGACACGAUUGAGAGGUUAUUCUCAUUGUCCUGUCUUUGGGAGAAAUUAUUGUGGACGAAAUAUCACCUUAACAUAGCUGAUGCCAAGGUCUUUAUGAUUGUACCCCCAAGUCAGAUUCCACAUAAUGUAUUGGUUGUAGUCCUUCAAGAUCGUAGUGAUGAUGUCCGAUGUCGAGAUGCCCUUUGUGCGCUUUGGUUCAGAGGUCCUAACUAACUCGUAGACAUCAUUGGCAGGUCCACUCGUGUCAGCAUUUCUGAAACAGUCAGAUUGUGUUAGAUACCUCUGCUUUGAUCAUUUGCCCAAACUUGUUGAAUCACCCAUGGAGCUAAAAUAGUCAGAGAGGAUCUCCAUCAGCUCCUAUGGCGGUGGCGCGACUGAAACCCUGAAAAAUGGGGAGGUGUAAGCUUACUUGCAAUGCUGAAGCGAUUCAUAGUGCUCGUCUACGGUCAUGGCGAUCUUCCCUUGUACAUGUGGGUGAUCUCAUCACUGUAGCGACCUCCAGCAAGUAUUUGUUGGGAAAUCUCCCAACAUAAAUUUAGCAGAAUGUAAGUUCAAAAACUGAUACUACCAUAAUAUACAUAUGAACUUUCGGCCUUCUCAUCAUCACUCGAGAGUUAGCUGCCAAAGAAUAUAAAGCAUAGAAUAUAAUUGUUAAUAAUAAAGACUAAACAAUGAACGAUCAUGCUUACAGAAAUUUAUUCCAUGAGAUUCUAUGUCGUUAACAAACAAUUCAGUUUUAAUAGAAAUACUGUGGGUCUAGUUUGUUAGAACCUCCUUGUAGACGAUGUUCUUGGUAUAUGUCCCACGAUCUAUUAUGGGGUUCUUUCUUACACCCUUCCUCGACCUCUUCGUCCCAUCGAUCCUUGCAGCUUAGAAAACAAUAGUGUCACACAUAUCUCUUCAUCGCAUUGACAUGAUUGUUUUCAGAUCCAAGUUGCUAAGAAUAUAACAUAAUCUGCUAUCAAGCAUACAGAGACAUCCUAUAGUUGCAGACUUGAAUCAAUCAAUGAAUAGAUCCAACCACAAAUAAUAACCAGGAUUAAACACAGAUAAAAAAGGUCUCUACUUGUGUAGCGUCCACAAAUUUUAUCUGUCUAAACCUAAAAUACCAAUCCAUGUUUUAUUCCAUUUUGAGAUUAUUUCGGCAUGUAGCUUUAAGUGGUGACUGAUGAGAUAGAACAUCAGUACCAUUAAAUCUGGUACUUGCAUCCCUGUCUAGCUUACUCAUUCAUGCUGUUUGAACUAAACAGUAGAGACAUCUGGUUCUUGCAUCCCUAAACAGUAAAGACACUGGCUGAACUAAAUUUUGGGCAGACCUACCCAUUCAUUCUGUUUGAACUAAACAGUAAAGACACUGGCUUCAAAUAGUAGAGACAUUUGGCAGUGCCAGAAUCGAAAUAAUUCAAACUAAACAGUAGAGACAUUACCUUGCAAAAUUGACGCCAAAGCACAGAGCUAUUCCUUGGAGAGAUUGGUGUUGCCGUGUUUGUUGGACUGGCAUGAGACAGAACAACAAUACCAUGAAAGUGAAACUGAAAAGAAAUCACAAGAUAGACGAUGAUGGAGGAACUGAUGAUCCAUCCCUUUAGAGACCUCGACGGUAUCAUCGAGAAAGAGAUUAAAUUUUAGAUCCAACUUCAAAGGUAAUUGAAACUCUAUAACUACAACAAUACUUCUAAGCUAUGUAUUUGAAACUCUAUAUUAUUUUGCUCCAGUUAUGUUAUUGUCUAAAAAUGGAUUGGGUUGAAAACAACUCCUCUUUGAUCAUAUAAAAUAUCUAACCAAUCUACAACAGUGUAAUCCCACUUGUGCGUCCACAAAAUUUAUGGAUUAAAACAUCACGGGAUGAAAUAAACACUACACACCUACUUGUGCGUCCACAAAAUUUUCUUGUGCAAGAAUAUAACAUAAUCUGCUAUCAAGCAUAUAGAGACAUCCUAUAGUUGCAGACUUGAAUCAAUCAAUGAAUAGAUCCAACCACAAAUAAUAACCAAGAUUAAACACAGCUAAAAAAGGUCUCUACUUGUGUAGCGUCCACAAAUUUUAUCGAACUAAACAGUAGAGACAUCUGGUACUUGCAUCCCUAUCUAGCUUACCAAUUCAUUCCGUUUGAACUAAACAAUAGAGACAUCUGGUUCUUGCAUCCCUAAACAGUAAAGACACUGGCUGAACAAAAUUUUGGGCAGACCUACCCAUUCAUUCUAUGGACGCUACACAAGUACUCGCAGACCUACCCAUUCAUUCUAUUUGAACUAAACAAUAAAGACACUGGCUUCAAACAGUAGAGACAUUUGGCAGUGCUAGAAUCAAAGUGAUUCGAACUAAACAGAGGAGACAUUACCUUGCAAAGUUGACGCCAAAGCAGAACUAUUCCUUCGAGAGAUUGGGGCUGCCGUGUUUGUGGCCUGGGGUGGCAUGGUUUUUAAGGACGACCCAAAUCGGCGUCGAUGGUAGGUCUGCAUCGAUUUGGGGUGAGGUUUUGGGCAGCAUGAUUCUCGUCGGUGGUAGGUUUGCGGGCUUUUAGGCUCCCAGAUUCUCGUCGAUCUGGGGCGAUGUUGGGGUCCCGCGCGCGAUUGUGUCGAUCUGGUGCAGAGGAGACAACCGUUGUGGCGGCACCACGGAGGCGGCACAAAAUUGAGAAGGUGCGCUGGGAGCCGACGAUAGGAUGUCACGGCAGCCGGCAGAGAUUUGUGCUGUAGCGACGGGAGGAGGGAGGGAGGAGGCGAGCGGGGCGAUGGGAACCGAAGUCCGAAGGAGCAGCACGAGAUGGAGGGCGGGAGCAGGGGCAGUGGUCACGGGAUUGAAGGUCGACUCUUUUGCCGUGGAUGGAAGGCGACGUCGAUGUAUACGUGAGGAUGGAAGGAGCCGCCGAGGUUGGAAGGCGGGGGCUCGAUCCUUGCUUUGUCGUAGGCGAGAUUCGUGGCCGCGGGCGUGGUUGGCGAGGACGACAGAGGCAAGGAUGGAAGGGUGCGGCAUGCGCGGCGGCGAAAAUGGUGGAGGUGCGGCGCGGAAAUCUUGGGAGGCGGAGGCGCAAGCGGAGCGGAGGAUGUCAGGGUGGGAGGCAGAACCGUGGGUGUGCACGCCUACACUCCUUUCUUAAGGAGUAGUAGAGAUUUGACUCGAACGUAUGUAUGAGGCAGUUCGUAUCUAUGAUUCGGUACAAGUAUGUUAUUUAAAAGGAGGGAGAGCAAGGAUAUAUAGCCUUGAGACCCCAUACAGAUAGCUGCACAAAUAUGUGUGCACAAUUAAAACAUGAAUUAUUGUUCUAAUUUAUAGUACGGGGCAGUUCGUAUCUAUGAUUCGGUACAAGUAUGGUAAUUUAAAGGAGGGAGAGCAAGGAUAUAUAGCCUUGAGACCCCAUACAAAUAUGUGUGCACAAAAAAACAUGAUUUAUUGCUCUGAUUUAUGAUUUAUAGUAGUAGAGAUUAGCAUCAACCGAUAUAUACCGGAAGAAUUCAUAUAAACUUUAUACCCCAAUAGAAACCACCAAUACACACAAGCAUACACGGCAUUAACAACAUUGUUUGUUAGGAAAAUUCAAUUGAAACAUGAUCGCAAAAAUGCAACGAAAGUGGUAUUAUUUUACUAACAUAUCACAAGCUAUUAAAGAACAUUUGCAGCAACAAAUUUGCUUGAAAGCUUACCUAGGCCUGAGAAGCUGCGGAUGCGUUGCAGCGAACCCCCGACGGUGUCCUGUCGUCCGGUCCAGGUAAACCAAACGCCUUAUCCGUUCCUUCCUCCACACCCUCGCUAGCUGAAACAAAAAACUACUUCAAUGAAACCACAAAUCAUAGAUACGAACUGCCCCGUGAUUGAAAAAAUCUAAAGUCCAUGAAGGGAUUAUUACAGAACAAACUACUACAUCAGUCUGCCUGAAUUAGGAUCAACUUGAACCUGGGUUUAAGUUUUGUUAGUGUUAAACCCAGGUACAUCAGUCUGCCUGAAUUAGGAUCAACACAUACUUGUUUUUGAAGCUACAUGAAAAAUAAUACUUCUUUCUGUCGGAGAACAAGGCGGUGGUAGAAAUGCCCAACCAAAUUGGGUUGGGGUUGUUCUUUCUAUCAUCAAUUGUUUUUUUUCUCCCCCAGCAUGGAAUUAACCACUUUAAGCAUCAUGUCCAGAUUGAACAUUGAUGAUUAUCAGAAAGAAGGCAGUCAACCAUCACCCCUGACAAAACAGCAAGAGUAUGGUAUGUGCAGGUCAUCAAGAGUUUGGUAUGUGUUGUACUCUGUCACAUCGAGAUAGUUUUUAUUGUGUUUUACCCAACUCAUUAAACUUAAGAGCUCCCCUAACAAAACAGCAAGGACUACUGCCAUUGCAGUAAUAAAAUUUCUGAGAUAAAAAAAUCAGCAAUUGAAAGGUGGAAGCAGAUCAUUAUGAGCACAAACUAAACUGAACUGCAAAACUGGAAGCAGAUCAUAGUUUUUCUUGUAUUCUAUCACAAGCAGAUCAUAAGUAAAACUGAAGUGCAACCAUAUUGAAACUACACCCAACCAAAAAACACGCAGCAUCACUCAACUAUUGAUGUGAUACUACAAGCACUAAAACUACUGCACAUACAAUUAUUGUUCAAGUCAGGAUUCAAUACAGACGAAAGCACAAACAGAUGAAUAGGUAGGUAAACCAGAUGAAUAGGUAGCUAAACCAGAUGUAAUAAUAAGGGCACUCAACCAAACACAAGCCCCAACAGCAUGUCACAAGUAAAACUAAACUGCAUGCAUAUUGAGACUACACUCAACCAAACACAAUAAUUUAUGCAUCAAUUGUGUACUGGGUCCCGGACACUGAACUGAUGAUGUUCCUGACACAAUAGUUUAUGCAUAAAUUAUCGCAGUCCCCAACACUCAACUGGAAUAAAAUAGUUGCAGCAAAAUAGUUUAUGCAUCAAUUGUGUACUGGGUGCAUAGGUUCUGGCAUAGGUUCUGGAAUAAUAAAGAACUUAGCGACCGCUUACAUAGGUUUUGGCAUAAACAAUAAUUUGCAUAGCUGCAGCAAAACAAGCAGGAUCACACGCACAAGAACUGGUAGAACUGUUAGUAAGAGCUGGUAGAACACAAGAAAAGACACUGACCUUUUGCGUCGAGUGUCCUUAGCUUCCCGUCGCGCGGAUGGCGUAUGGCGUAUGGCGUAUGGAUCGAUUAGGGGUUUUUAAAUACAUAGAAGUGUGGCGGAUCCGUGGGAUUUGGGGGCGCAGGGCUACAACCUUCCAUCGACGGGAUGUAGGCGUAGCUGGCGCGGCUGAUUUUGGGCAUUUGGUGGCGCAGGAUGAACGCCUCCACGGAGCUUUGCCUGGCGCGGACUUCCAUCGACGGGCGAGACGCGGGAUGAAUGCGCCACCUUCCAUUGACGGGAUGAAUGCGCCACCUUCCAUCCACGGCCUGCGAUUCCCCAAAUCCCCGACCUUCCAUCGACGGGCGAGUCGCGGGAUCGGGGCGCGGCUCGACCUUCCAUUCAUGCGGACUGCGGCUCCCCGACCUUCCAUCUACCCGCGCGGGGAAGCGGAUUUCGUGAGCAGCGGAUUGACGGGCGGGGAAUUGGGGAUCGGGGCGCGGCCGCGGGAGCGGACAGCGGGCGAUGGCAGGGAGCGGACAGCGGGCGAUGGCAGCGGCGGAUUGACGGGCGCGGAAUUGGUGGGGGACUGGGGGCGCGGUAGCCGGAGCGGACUGCGGGCGCGGGAGCGGGAGCGGACUGCGGGAGCAGGAGCGGACUGCGUACGCGGGAGCGGGAGCGGACUGCGGGCGCGGGAGCGGAGCGGCAGAACCAAAAAGGUGUGGACGCCUACAGUCCACACAUAAGAGUAGUAGAGAUUUAAAAUAUUUUUCAUAUGUGUAUUUAAAAUAAUAAAUGUUUGAAGUGUUGUGAAGCAACAACGAGCUAUAGCUAGCUUCUUUUUGAAAGAGAGGGAGUACUCCACUUGAGCGGCCACGGCCAGACUGUCAUACCCAGCUUUAAGGAACAAAGCCAGGUGCAUCUCAUACAUGCGUCAAAUAAGACAGCAUAUAUAAUAACAGAGUAUAUAGAGAUAAAUGUCACAAUAUAAUCAGAGUACUUAUUACAUAGCAGAAGACUUACAAAAUAAAAGAUAAAAAUAACACAAACUAAGGAUCGUCCUUGGCGCCUAUGCCAACUGAGAAACGCCACCUAGAUCAGAUCAAACUCCUCGCCUUGUGGCUCCUCCUAAACCACAUGUUCUUCUCCUGUGGGGGGUGUGAGACAGCAAGGGUGAGCUCACACAUGUUCAUCGCUCAACAAGUUGUGGGGAAUAAUAUGACAUGAACUCACCAAAGGUGUGAGUUCAUGAAGUGUAAGGCUGAUCAACAAUAGAGGUUAAAGCUGAGCAUUGCUUUUAUAAGUUGGUUAAAAUUUUAUUAGCAGUUACUAAGUGUAAGUUCCCAUGCAAAUGCAAAUGACAAAUUGAGUUUAGGUUCCAUAAUUUAAUCAUCGGAGAGUCCUGAGCUGCUCAUGACCGCGAGCUCGGCUAGUAUACCAGUUUUACACUCUGCAGAGGUUGUACCCUUUACCCACAAGUCGUGUUUCCCAUGUCGCUAGGGUUAGCUAGGCCCUUAGACACUACCAAGGUGAAUGGCUAGGGAUCCACUACGAGGCCUUUAUAAAGUUCCACUAGCUUCCGAAAACCCGCUACAGUUUAUGGGAAGAGCACUUGCAAGAAUCCCCCGUCUGACCGACAUCGCAGCAAAAUCAACCCGAGAACCUCCUUGCAUGCAACUCCCCUACUGCCCUUGCCCCUUUCGGGUAAGGUAGUCUUCCACUAGCUUUCUUAAUUAGUUAGCCAAGGGGUCCCAUUCCUCCCUUGUGGUGGCACGUGUUUCUCAAGUUAAGCUCCAUGUUCUAAUUAACAAUAAUAUAAUGAUCUUGACAUGAACAUAAAUAAAAUAACAUAAUAACUGGAACAUGGAUAUAAUAAAUGAUUAUCCCAAAACCAUAUAAAGCAAUAGCAAACUAACCAAGUGAUUCAGGGGUAAACAAGGUAAUGAGAUAAACAAUCUAGGGUGACCUAUUGGGUCCCAUCAAAAUUAAACCUAUACAUUGAAUAGUGAUAAUAACGAACAUUAUUGGGUAACAAAAGUGAGUCAAGGGCACAACUUGCCUGGCACUUGAGAUUCUAGGUACCAACUUGCUUUUCAGAUGACAUGCGUCCUCGCGCUAGUCGUAGCAAUACAAACAGACAUGGUAUAGAUAAAAUUAACAUCACACCAAACAUAAAUACAAACUGAAUAAUAAUGAUCUACGCGUUGCUACGAGACUAACGCAACUUGAACGGAUCAAAUCGAAGUUAAAACAGAGGAGUUAUGAAUUUCCAAAGAUUUUAUGUAUUUGAUAAGAUUAAUUAGAAAAUAAAUUUUAAAGUGGCUUUCAUGUCAAACCAGAGGUACUAUGUGAUAAACAAUAAUAUUAUAUAAUUAUAGAAAUUGGAAUGGACUCAUUUGGACAACAUGAAUUUCCUAUAUAUGAAUUGAACAAAUUCUUAGCAUUUAUUUUUGCAUCAAAGAUCAUUUUCUAAUUCCUUUUACUGAAUUUUCUAAUUUUUGGCACUGGGCGUCCAAUACUAGAAAAGGUAGGGUCUCUGGUGCAAGAAUCUGCAAGACUCAAAGCACAACCGCGGGGGACAGCGGGUUGAUUCAAAUGUUUGUCAGGGUCUCUUUAGCAUAAACGCCAAGGCGAAGAGAUAUCGAGUUACUGCAACCGUCCGAUCGAAAACGGAUCGCCCAGAUCAGAUCAUUCCACAUAAUGAACCAGUGCCAUCUACAGGCCGUUGGAUCAAGAUCCGAGGGCCCAAAUUCAUUUCUACAUGAGCUAAUCUCGACCGCACACGAGCAGAUCAACGGACGAGACCGGUUAUUGAAUCGGUAAGUCCCUUAUUGAAUCCUGGCCGCUACUUUUCGCGCCAACGGCCACCACACUUUCUUCAACCUCAAACUCACCAGGCAGCGUCGCUGCACCCGCCCCAGGGCAUGACUGCACCGGCAUUCGACCCCCAGGUUGCCAGAAUCCCAAAAUCUAAGCCUAGAAUUACUACCGGCAUGGCUAAGUAAUGUAGAAAUGGCAAGGAGUGGUUCACACCAGAGUUUCUGGCACCGGCACUGUUCGGCAGUGGAGUUUCGGCCCGGUGAGGAGCCGACCACGCAGUCCUUUGUGUACUCGAUACGCCCGCCCAAGCUCUACCGAAGCGCGACGCCGGCUUUGUGAGCCCGAGACGCGACACCAGCCGCCCAAGCCCUACCGAUGCGCGCCGUAGACUAUGAUCCUAGGACGCGACCCCGGCUGCUAAAUCCGUAUGGUGAGGUCGCGGAGCAUCCUAGCUUUUCUCUCGGUCGCUCCCCUACGAUCUCUCUCUCACGUUUCGGCUUGCUCGGAGUUCAUGGCGACAUGCGGUAAUCAAGGCCGGGGCACGGCUUAUAACCCCAGGUCGCGGCGUGGCCCGCUCCCUGGAGAUCCGAGCGGGAUGGCCGAGCUGGCGGCGAGGACCCCGGCGGUUAGUUGCAGUCAGCCGAGCAAGGGUAGGUGGUCAAGGAAGUAGCUGAUAGGGGCCCCACAUGGAGGUCGCUUGGGUACACAUGAGGUCACCGGCUAAGUAAACGGCCAUGGCCGAGCUCGGCGGAAAUCCAGUGAGCGCGACUAGAUUCCUGGAUUCUGUUGCGAUACGGUGGGGAGGAAAGGUCUGACCAUCUAGGCCUACCAGUCAGCGGCCAGCGACGAUCACGCGAGUGUGGGUUACGAGCGGCUGGCAGUGGGCCCGCAUGGUCAGUCACAGCGUGGCAAGCGCACGCGCCCGCAGAUAUGGAGUCGGCUAGCACAGGACGCACGGUAGUGGACAUGGGCCGGUGGUUAGACGAAUUGGCCCAGGAGGAAAGCUAGGAGCCAGGCCGAUGUGAGAAGAUCAGGCCCAUGAGCAGGUAAGGUCCUAUUUUUUUAUUCUUUUUCUAUUCUCUUCUCAAUUUCUAAUUCCCAUUUCAAAUUCAAGUUUAAAACUCAUAGUUCAAAUUCAAAUCUGAGCCAUAGUAAAGUACUGGCCCGAAGAAUUAUAUUUACUUAUUUAUAUAUUUUUCUUUAUAAUAUAUAUUCUUUUCCUUUUUAUUUAUUUAUGGAAGAAAUAAAUAGUCCCUUUCAAAUCCCCUUUUCUAAAUUGAACAUCUUUGGUUAAACCAUAAUUUUGAUUAUUAACUUGCUCCUAUUAACAUGGUUAGUAUUAAAUGCACAACACAAAAUUCCAAAAUGAGGCAUCGAUUAUUUUUUGUAGUAUUAAUUAAUUAUUCUCUUUAAAUAAGGAUAUUCUCCCGUUGGAAUAAGUAGAUGGUCACACAUAUAAUGAGAUAUACUCUUUUCACCUUAUUUACAAUUUGGGUCUUACAAAUCCUACCACCCUUAAAAAGAAUCUCGUCCUCGAGAUUUAGGAAGGACUAGGGAAAAGAUGGGGAAAAUCUAUGUGAAGCUCUUCUUCCUCUCCCUAGAAGCUUCAUCUUCUCCAUGAUGGUUCCAUUACACUUUGCACAUCUUUAUAACCCUAUUUCUUGUAACUCGAGUCAAAUUGUCAAGAAUCUUAAUGGGAUACUCCGUGUAAGUCAAAUCACCCUGAACACUAAGCUCUUCCAUUGGUAACUGUUCCUCGGGGACACGGAGGCACUUCUUAAGUUGAGACACAUGGAAUACAUUAUGUACAUCAGCUAGAUUAUCGGGUAACUCGAGUUGAUAGGCCAUCUCUCCAACUCGCCUUAAAAACUCAUAAUGGUCCCCCAUAGCGAGGGGACAAUUUUCCCUUGACUUUGACUCUCCUCAUUCCACGAAGUGGUGACACCUUGAGGUACACAUGAUCACCUUCUUCAAAUUCCAGUGGUCUUCUAUUAUCUGCGUAGCUCUUUUGCCUGGUUUGAGCUACCCUCAAAUUCUCUCGAAUUAUACGAACUUGUUCUUCUACCUCUUGAAUAAGUUCAGGUCCAAAGAACUAUCUUCCUCUAGUAUGGUCCAAAAAUAGAGGAGUCCUGCACUUCCUGCCAUAUAAAGCCUCGAACAGUGACAUCUUCAGACUGGUCUGGUAACUAUUAUUAUAUGAGAACUCAGCAUAAGGUAGACUCUUGUCCCAACUACUACCAUGCUGAAGGGCACAAGCUCUCAACAUGUCCUCCAAUACUUGAUUAGUCCUUUCAUUCCGUCAAUCAGUCUGAGGAUGGUAAGCUGAACUAGAAUUCAACUUCGUAUCCACAUUCUCUUGAAAACUUUUCCAAAAUCUUGAGGUAAACGGUGAUCCUCUAUCCAAAAUGAUCCACUUCGGUAUACCGUGUAGAGACAUAAUCCGAGCCAUAUAUAACUCUACCAAUUGAGAUCCCUUAUAAGUAGUCUUGACCGGAAUAAAGUGAGCCACUUUGGCCAGUCUAUCCACAAUAACCCAUAUAUAAUCAUAUCCUUUCGAGGUGCGAGGCAAUCCAGUACUAAAAUCCAUAUCAAUAUCUUCACACUUCCACUCGGGUAUCUUUAAUGGGUGUAGUAGUCCAGCUGGCCUCUGGUGUUCAACCUUCACUCUUUGACAACGUCGCACAUAAUCACAUGUGCAGCCACAUCUCUCUUCAAUCAUACCACCAAUACUUCCGCUUCAAAUUCUGAUACAUCUUGGUACUACCAGAAUGAAUAGAAUAAUCCAAGUCACGGGCUUCCUUUAAAAUAGUCUCACGAAGGCUUUCAAUCUCCAGAACACAUAUCUGAUCUGUGAACCAUGCUGUGCCUUGAUCAUCUUCCAUGAAUUCCAGACCUCGACCUUCAGUAAUCAGAUCCUUGAUCUCUUGUAUCUUAGCAUCACCAACUUGUCCUUUGUGGAUUUCUUUCUACAAAGUAGGUUCCACAGCAAUAUUAACUCCUUCCAUGUGAACAACUAUCCCCAGGUUAAGUCUCCUGAAAUCCUCAACAAUCUCAUCGGGUAGUUGGGAAACAACAGCUGAAUGAACAUGCUCCUUUCGACUCAAGGCAUCUGCAACCAAAUUUGCCUUGCCCGGGUGAUAGUGAAUCUCCAAAUCAUAAUCCUUAAUAAGCUCCAACCAACGGCGUUGCCUAAGGUUGAGAUCCUUCUGAGUGAAUAUAUACUUCAAACUCUUAUGAUCCAUGUAUACUUGACACUUGGUUCCCAUAAUAUAAUGUCUCCAAAUCUUAAGCGCAUGCACAACGGCUGCCAGCCCUAAGUCAUGACUCAUGAGUGGGGUAGUUUAACUCUUGUUUCCGCAACUCGCGAGACGUGUAGGCAAUCACAUGUCCUUCUUGCAUGAGCACACAUCCCAAGCGUUGGCCACAUGCAUCACAAUAAAUAUCAAAUCCCUUCUAUAGAUCUGGCAUUAACCAACACUGGUGGCGGCAUCAAUCUCAACUUCAGUUGGUUAAAACUAUCAUGGUACUUCUCGUCCCACUUAAACUCUCUUCCCUUGUCCAGAAGUGAGGUCAUACGCUUAGCGAUCUUAGAAAAUCCUUCAAUAAAUCUCCGAUAAUAUCCUACAAGUCCCAAGAAACUCCGGACCUCAGUAACUAUAGUGGGUAUGCUCCACGCCACUAUCUCCUUGACUUUAGCAGGAUCAACUGAUAUUCCUCCAUUAGAAAUGACAUGUCCAAGGAAUGGCACCUCGUCAAUCCAAAACUCGCAUUUGUGAAACUUGGCGUAGAGUUGAUUGCCUCGUAUCUUUUAUAUCACCAAUCUCAGAUGUUCCUCAUGAUCACUAUCACUCUUGGAAUAAAUAAAUAAAAAAUAUCGUCGAUGAAAACCACGACGAAUCUGUCCAGAUCAUGAACACCUUAUUCUUCAGAUCCAUAAAAUAGGCUGGUGCAUUAGUUAGUCCAAAUAACAUAACUGUGAACUCAUAUAAUCCAUAUCGGGUCGAGAAAAUUGUCUUGGGAAUAUCCGAUGGCCUAAUCUUUAUUUGGUGAUAACCCGGUUGGAGUUCAAUCUUCGAGGAUACCCUUGCACCUCUCAUCCAAUUAAAUAAAUCCUCAAUGCGGGGUAAUGGACACUUGUCCUUCAUAGUGACAUCGUUAAGGGACCUAUAAUCUACGCACAUCCUUUGCGAUCCAUCUUUCUUCUGUACAAACAGAACUGGCGCUCCCUAAGGUGAGGAACUUGGACGAAUGUAUCCAGCCUCUUGUAACUCCGUUAAUUGCUUCUUAAGUUCCUUUAGUUCUUCUACGGACAUCCUGUAUGCCGUUUAGGAGUAGGAGUAGUCUCAGGUAAGAGAUCAAUGACAAACUCCACUUCCCUAUUUGGUGGCAUCCCUGAUAACUCCUCUGGAAAGACAUCCGGAAAAUCUCUAACUGCACGGAUGUUGUCACCCACAAACUUCUCAUCUACUAAGAAUGCCGCUAAUCUGGUGGUGGUAGUUACUGCAAUUUAAACUUUAAAUCUUUCUUCUUUGGAACUGGUGAGUUCUACGGCUCCCUUAGCACAGUGUAUAAACUACCUUUGCCUUUCUUAACCAUGACAUACCAAAGAUCAUGUCUAUAGUGCUCUCUUCUAACACUAUAAGGGUAGCCCAUCUAAGUUAGAAAUACAGGGUAAGAAAGAAAGAAUUGUAGACAAGGCGAGUAAUUACGAGGAAGGUUACUGCGGGGGAUUUAUUAGCUAAGUAGAUUAGUGCUUUAUCCACUAAAGAUAAUACAUUAUCUUAUGGUGGUACAUGCUAAGAUGCCCAACUAUAAUGUUGCAAUCAAUCAAAGAAGCAAAUCAAGCAUUUAUCAUCAGAACAAUCAACCAACAUUUUUAAUAGAGAAAAUAAUUUUAAUUUCGUCUUAGGUUCCCUAUCUCUGAAAAAGUUCAUAGUUGUAGGAUUCCAAGGUGUGAAAUCCAUCUUGUCUUAGAGUAGUAAAGGUAAGAUUAAUCAGAGUAGAAAAGCAAAAGGUGAGAUAAGACCAAGAUGAGAUAAGUAUAGAAUGAAUCAGAAUAAGGUAAGUAGAGAAGGGUUUUAUCCAUUUCUAUCUAGGUUUCGUCCUACAGUCAACAUUUCCUCUGAUACCACUUCUGUCACACCCGGCUUUAAGGAACAAAGCCAGGUGCAUCUCAUACAUGCGCCAAAGAAGACAACAUAUAUAAUAACAGAGUGUAUAGAGAUAAAUAUCACAAUAUAAUCAGAGUACUUAUUACAUAGCGGAAGACUUACAAAAUAAAAGAUAAAUAUAACACAAACUAAGGAUCGCCCUUGGCGCCUAUGCCAACUGAGAAACGCCACCUAGAUCAAAUCAAACUCCUCGCCUUGUGGCUCCUCCUAAACCACAUGUUCUUCUCUUGUGGGGGGUGUGAGACAGCAAGGGUGAGCUCACCAUGUUCAUCGCUCAACAAGUUGUGGGGAAUAAUGUGACAUGAACUCACCAAAGGUGGGAGUUCAUGAAGUGUAAGGCUGAUCAACAAUAGAGGUUAAAGCUGAGCAUUGCUUUUAUAAGUUGGUCAAAAUUUUAUUAGCAGUUACUAAGUGUAAGUGAAUACCAAACCAUAAUAAAAUAAUAGAACAAAAUUAAUAACAAAUCCCAUGCAAAUGCAAAUGACAAAUUGAGUUUAGGUUCCAUAAUUUAAUCAUCGGAGAGUCCUGAGGUGCUCAUGACAGCGAGCUCGGCUAGUAUACCAGUUUUACACUCUGCAGAGGUUGUACCCUUUACCCACAAGUCGUGUUUCCCAUGUCGCCAGGGUUAGCUAGGCCCUUAGACACUACCAAGGUGAAUGGCUAGGGAUCCACUACGAGGCCUUUACAAAGUUCCACUAGCUUCCGAAAACCCGCUACAGUUUAUGGGAAGAGCACUUGCAAGAAUCCCCCGUCUGACCGACAUCGCAGCAAAAUCAACCCGAGAACCUCCUUGCAUGCAACUCCCCUACUACCCUUGCCCUUUUCGGGUAAGGUAGUCUUCCACUAGCUUUCUUAAUUAGUUAGCCAAGGGGUCUCAUUCCUCCCUUGUGGUGGCACGUGUUUCUCAAGUUAAGCUCCAUGUUCCAAUUAACAAUAAUAUAAUGAUCUUGACAUGAACAUAAAUAAAAUAACAUAAUAACUGGAACAUUGAUUUAAUAAAUGAUUAUCCCAAAACCAUAUAAAGCAAUAGCAAACUACCCAAGUGAUUCAGGGGUAAACAAGGUAAUGAGAUAAACAAUCUAGGGUGACCUAUUGGGUCCCAUCAAAAUUAAACCUAUGCAUUGAAUAGUGAUAAUAACGAACAUUAUUGGGUAACAAAAGUGAAUCAAGGGCACAACUUGCCUGACACUUGAAAUUUCAGGUACCAACUUGCUUUUCAGAUGACACGCGUCCUCGCGCUAGUCGUAGCAAUACAAACAGACAUGGUAUAGGUAAAAUUAACAUCACACCAAAUAUAAAUACAAACUGAAUAAUAAUGAUCUACGCGUUGCUACGAGACUAACGCAACUUGAACGGAUCAAAUCGAAGUUAAAACGGAGGAGUUAUGAAUUUCCUAAGAUUUUAUGUAUUUGAUAAGAUUAAUUAGAAAAUAAAUUUUAAAGUGGCUUUCAUGUCAAACCAGAGGUACUAUGUGAUAAACAAUAAUAUUAUAUAAAUAUAGAAAUUGGAAUGGACUCAUUUGGACUUAACAUGAAUUUCCUAUGAAUUGAACAAAUUCUUAGCAUUUAUUUUUGCAUCAAAAAUCAUUUUCUAAUUCCUUUACUGGAUUUUCUAAUUUUCGGCACUAGGCGUCCAAUACUAGAAAAGGUAGGGUCUCUGGCGCAAGAAUCCGCAAGACUCAAAGCACAACCGCGGGGGAUAGCGGGUUGAUUCAAAUGUUUGUCAGGGUCUCUUUAGCAUAAUCGCCAAGGCGAAGAGGUAUCGAGUUACUGCAACCGUCCGAUCGAAAACGGACCGCCCAGAUCAAAUCGUUCCACAUAAUGAACCAGUGCCAUCUACAGGUCGUUGGAUCAAGAUCCGAGGGCCCAAAUUCAUUUCUACAUGAGCUAAUCUCGGCCGCACACGAGCAGAUCAAUGGCCGAGGCCGGUUAUUGAAUCGGUAAGUCCCUUAUUGAAUCCUGGCCGCUACUUUUCGCGCCAACGGCCACCACACUUUCUUCAACCUCAAACUCACCAGGCAGCGUCGCUGCACCCGCCCUAGGGCAUGACUGCACCGGCGUUCGACCCCCAGGUUGCCAGAAUCACAAAAUCUAAGCCUAGAAUUACUACCGGCAUGGCUAAGUAAUGUAGAAAUGGCAAGGAGUGGUUCUCACCAAAGUUUCUGGCACCGGCACUGUUCGGCAGUGGAGUUUCGGCCCGGUGAGGAGCCGACCACGCAGUCCUUUGUGUACUCGAUACGCCUGCCCAAGCUCUACCGAAGCGCGACGCCGGCUUCGUGAGCCCGAGACGCGACACCAGCCGCCCAAGCCCUGCCGAUGCGCGCCGUAGACUAUGAUCCCAGGACGCGACCCUGACUGCUAAAUCUGUAUGGUGAGGUCGCGGAGCAUCCUAGCUUUUCUCUCGGUCGCUCCCCUACGAUCUCUCUCUCUCACGUUUCGGCUUGCUCGGAGUUCAUGGCAACAUGUGGUAAUCAAGGCCGGGGCACGGCUUAUAACCCCAGGUCGCGGCGUGGCCCGCUCCCUGGAGAUCCGGGCGGGAUGGCCGAGCUGGCGGCGAGGACCCCGGCGGUUAGUUGCAGUCAGCCGAGCAAGGGUAGGUGCUCAAGGAAGUAGCUGAUAGGGGCCCCACAUGGAGGUCGCUUGGGUACACAUGAGGUCACCGGCUAAGUAAACGGCCAUGGCCGAGCUCGGCGGAAAUCCAGCGAGCGCGACUGGAUUCCUGGAUUCUGUUGCGAUACGGUGGGGAGGAAAGGUUUGACCAUCCAGGCCUACCAGUCAGCGGCUAGCGACGAUCACGCGAGUGUGGGUUACGAGCGGCUGGCAGUGGGCCCGCAUGGUCAGUCACAGCGUGGCAAGCGCACGCGCCCGCAGUUAUGGAGUCGGCUAGCACAGGCCGCACGGUAGUGGACAUGGGCCGGUGGUUAGACGAAUUGGCCCAGGAGGAAAGCUAGGAGCCAGGCCGAUGUGAGAAGAUCAGACCCACGAGCAGGUAAGGUCCUAUUUUUUUUAUUCUUUUUCUAUUCUCUUCUCAAUUUCUAAUUCCCAUUUCAAAUUCAAGUUUAAAACUCAUAGUUCAAAUUCAAAUCUGAGCCACAGUAAAGUACUGGCCCGAAGAAUUAUAUUUACUUAUUUAUAUAUUUUUCUUUAUAAUAUAUAUUCUUUUCUUUUUAUUUAUUUAUGGAAGAAAUAAAUAGUCCCUUUCAAAUCCCCUUUUCUAAAUUGAUCAUCUUUGGUUAAACCAUAAUUUUGAUUAUUAACUUGCUCCUAUUAACAUGGUUAGUAUUAAAUGCACAACACAAAAUUCCAAAAUGAGGCAUCGAUUAUUUUUUGUAGUAUUAAUUAAUUAUUCUCUUUAAAUAAGGAUAUUCUCCCGUUGGAAUAAGUAGAUGGUCACACAUAUAAUGAGAUAUACUCUUUUCAUCUUAUUUACAAUUUUGGUCUUACACAGACCGCCAGUACCUGGCACUUGCCUGUUGCGCGCCGCGUCGCGGCGUCGUAGCCACGUACAUAAUCGGUGCGCCGCCGUCGAGGCGAGCGCGUAGAACAGUAGAUGAAAAUCCCGCGCGCAAAAGGCGGAGACAGAGCAUUCUCGUUUGGCCAUCGUCUGUCCAGCCAUGUGGGCGGCAUGCAGACUGGCGAAAGUGCCAAUACUUCCAUUCUCACCAAACUACUACUAUACGUGCCACGACUUUGGUGUCAUGCACUGCAACCACCCCUAAGCUACUUCCUCCCAUCCAUACCAACCAGUCGCACCACCAACGGCUACGACAGCACAAAAGUAUAUAUGGCCUGUGUGUGUGGUGCCAAAUGAUUGGAGCUUGCACUUUGCACAAUCGAGUGCAUAUGCUUUAUUGCUGUGCUCUUUUCCAAAUUAACAUGCAGAUCGAACUUUAAAUGUGUAUCUGGAUUGAUUGAACGCAAUAAUAUGUGGAAGUAGUACACUGCUAGCUGUUGCUGCGUACAUGCAUCAUCAUCCAUUGCAAACAUUUUACGCGAACAGGACGCAGUCGCUAGCUCCCGCGUCACAAGUAAAAAAACCCUUCUUUUCUUUACAAGCAAAUUAAAACUACAGUGAUAUACUCCCGUGCCCACACACUUCUUUACAAUUACAAGUAUUGUAAUCACGAUUUAACAAUAACAGAACAAGAAUCAUGCAUAUAGAGAUGUAUGAUGUCCAGCAAGAACAAACCAACAAGGCGUGUGUCGUCAGCGGACGCCGCCGAGCGUACGAAAACCGGCGGAAUCAGCUAGCUUAGCUGCGGCUGCACUCGGGCGGGAGGCCCUGGGGGAACCGCCAGCCGUCGUCGCAGUAGUUGUAGCGCAUGUAGUUGCUCUCGGCCCACCGGAUGGUGCCCCACUCGGCGUCGUCGGGCUGCUUGCUCAUCCACCCGUCGUCGCCGCCGCCGCCGCAGGCCCCGCCGCUGACGCAGGCGUUGGCGGAGUAGCCCCGGUAGGAGACGACGAAGGGCGCGGCGGACCAGUCCACCGGCACCUUGCCCUUCUCGGUGGCCCAGUAGCUGCCGUCCCACAGCGUGGCGUGCAGCGCCAUGGGCCUCGCGCUCGGGUACGGCAGGUCGGCGUAGCGCUUGAAGCACCGGAUCACGUCGCCGUCCACCUUGAACAGGAUGUUGGCCGGGUUCCAGAUGAUGGUGUAGGUGUGGUAGUCGGCGGAGGGGUCGAACCAGAGGUCGAACUGGUGCUCCUUCUUGCCGUCGCCGCUGGCCCACACGUUCGUGUUCAGCACCACCGGCUGCCCGCUCGCGUUGCCCAUGAACUCCAUGUCGAUCUC